UUUACUUUUGAAAAUUUUCAUACCAAGUCCUUAGUUUGAGUUCAGACACACCCGGGAGUGUGUCCGAAUCCCUCAAACCAAGGCUCUGAUACCAACUUGUAACAUCCCAAAAAUACAGGCCAAAAAUUUCAUUUUUAAAUAAGUUAUUAUAAAACCAUAAGCAAUAAAACCUCCAUAAUAACAUCUCAUGUCAAAAACCAAAGUAGAAAUAAUCAAAACAUGUUAUCAUAAAAUAAUUUCAGAGGGUAAUCCCCAAGAUCUCAUGUACAGAAAUAUAGUGUGAUGUCUUGCGAUCGAACCGACUCCUUUCCUUUGAAAACGAAGUACCUAAAACUAAAACUGAAAAUCGUAAGCAUGGAGCAUAGUGAGUUCCCAAAUACCACAUACCAUACAUAUCAACAUACUGCCUAGCAUAUCUAGGUGUUGGCCUACCCCUUCGGUCUCUUUCAAUCGAAUACUGUCUAGCAUAUAAAUACAUACGCGCAUACUGUCAUACAUAACCAUGAGCCAUGCAUAUAUCAUAAUCAGUAAAGGUGCUAUGUGCCAAACACAGUCGUGCCAUUAUCCCACGGGCCGCCACAUGGUCUUUAUUGCCAUGUCGGGGGCCAACCCCUCGGUCUCAAAGACAAGUGCCAAGAGCCACCUCCUAGUCUUUCAUACAUAAUAGCAUAAAGUGUGCCAGGAGCCACCUUCUGGUCUUUCAUACAUAUUGCCUAGGGCUAACCCCCAGGUCUUCCUACCAUAAAUAAUAACAUACUGUGUGCCAGGAGCCGCCUCCUGGUCUUUCAUGCAUAAUGCCUAGGACUAACCCCGGGUCUUCCUAUCAUAUAUAAACUAAAUGGGCCGGCAUUGGUGCCUUAGACCCAUACAAACAGUGAGGAGACUCACCUCACACUAUUGAAGUCUCGCGGAUAAAUUUGUGGCUGCUGGCUGACACAUUCCCGAAUCUGUCAACAUCAAAAUAACACCCAAUUAAUAAUUGGGUUCUAACACAUAACCAUAAGUCCAUGUUGGGGUAAAAGACUGCUUUACCACUAUCUUGGCUUGAUUCAAGCCCAAGGCCCAACCUAAAGGCCCAAAAGUCAAUUAUGAGUCAAAGCCCAGCAUAUGGCCCAAUUUUCAAAAUUGGGCCCAAACCUUUACAUGGUCUUAUUCAAAGGCCCAAUCAUUAUAUAAUCAUUAAGGUCCAAUCUAUGGCCGAAUUUUCCAAAUUGGGCCCAACUCCUUGUAUGGGCCUUACCUCAAAGCCCAUUAAUUAUUCUAGUCCAUUUUCUUGAUCUUGAAUGGCCCAUUAAUAACCCAAUCAUCAAGGCCAAAUAGAAAGGCCCAACAAUAAACCCAAGUGAAAUUAGGGUUUCAUAUAAAAUGACGAUUCAGGUUAAGUGUCCCUACUUAACCCCAUAAGGACUUAAUACAUUAAGUUCCACCUGGCCUUAUGUUAAUUGCAAUUGGUUAUUAAUUAAUAUUUUAAGUUCAUUAAAUAAUUCUGAUGCGGUCCUGAUAAGUCCCAAAUUAGGGUUUCAUGGCAUUAGGGUUUUCCAAACCCUAAUUAGGGUUUCCAAACAUAUUAGCCCAAUAUGCCUAAUGACUAGGUCCUUUGACCAAUUAGGGUUCAUUAGGCCCAUUAUGAUUCCACAAGGCCCAUUAGGGUAUUAAGCAUCCCAACCAAAUCAACAAAGCAAGGCAAAGCACACCACCCCCGACACAGAGGGCGGUGGCGGCAGGAGGUGGCGGCCACCACCUUAUGGUGGUGGUUUUGAUAUUUUCAUUAUUAAUUUGGGCAUCACUUACAAUAUACAACUCAAUAACACACACACUAAUAUAAACAUACACACACACAACCACCCAUAUGGUGGUCGGUGGUGGUACACGGUGGUGGUGGUGGUGGUGGCGUUUUUGGCUAACUAAACAUCCACACGACACCCUCUCACAGUAGCAAUGAACACAAACGCACCAACAUACACACAUGGCGGCAUCAGUGACGAGUUGUGGUGACAACCGCCACCGUGAGGUGGUGACGGCGAUUCUCUUGAUUCCAGUCGAGCAUCCACAUGCAAACACGAUCUGAAAGAAGCUCACAUUCGUGAGUCAACCCACACAGCCCCAUCAUGAAUAGAAAUGAGUCGGUAGUCCACACCAAACACAGAACGAAACUACAACCAACAUUCUCGGCGACGAGCAACAGCCGGAGGCGACAACAACGUGACGGCAGCGGUGUAGGUUGGGGAAGCAACAGAAGAGGCGUGAAAAGAGAGUGUGCGACCCACCUAUAAACCCCAAAAGCACCCACAAGCCAUGUUUCCCGAUCUCAUCGUGCCUUCUUCGUCUUUGUCGGCGACGGAACAUGGCGGCUGCUCCGAUGAUCCUUCAGUGGUGGCGAGGAGGUGACGGCUGGGCAGAUGGAGAGGUUUGCGGCUAGAGUCUCUCAUGGCAACUGGAAGAAAUGUUGCUAGGGUUAGGGUUCUUUGGCAAGGUAACAGUGGGCUGCUCUGAUGAUCUUUCAAUCCCUCCUCACACAUUUGUUUUCAAAUUUAAUUCAAUAUUUACCAUUUGAACCCUGCUUCCAUAUUACCUUUUAAAAUAAAGUUCAAGUUUAACAAAACAACCCCUCCCUCUACAAAUCCUUUACAAAUUUGGUCUGGAAUUUACUCUUUAGCCCCUGUUUUCAUAAUUACUUUCAUAUUAGGUCUAAUACUUACCAAAUAUCCCCCCAUCUUCUAAAAUCUUUACAAACUAAAUCUUAAAUUUAUACUUUGACCCCCUAAUAAUCCAACUUAUGGCAUUUGGCUUCACAAAACCAACACCUUGCUAUAUAAUUAAUAAUUUUAGGUCUACGAUUCAUUCGUUAUUUUCUUCCAUUUAUUUAUUAAAUAAACGCGGUGUUACACCUGAAACCAAAACUAAAAACCAUAAGCACAAAGCUUAGUGAGUUCCCCCGUCAUACUACAUACAAUAUAACAAACAUACCCUGUCAAGCAAUUCUGGGGUGAUCUACCCUUUGGUUUAUCUUAACCGGUCACGGGGACUCUUUCACCCCAUACUACUACUAUAUAAUAACAUAGCAUAACAUACUUCCAGGUGAUUCUAGGGUGCCCGACCUACCAUUCGAUUUAUCUCAACCGGACCCGAGGACUAGUCCCCUACCUACCACUAUCACAUAAUCACAUAGAAUACUUGCACAUAAAACAUCAUAGAUAGUGGCAUACCAAACAAUUAUCACAAAGACAAUCAUCUCAACUACAAUCUCCUACUAGUGGGCCGACCUUGGUGUCUUAGACCCACUUCUACUAGAAGGUAACUCACCUCAAUGUCGUGCAGUAACAAAAUUGUCCUCGGUGUUGGGAUCAAAUCUCCUCAAACUCCUAUACUUAACAUCUCUUUUAAUUACUCUUUCAAACUUAUAACCCCUUUAAGGGUAAACUCUAGUCAAUUGUCAAGUCAAAGGUCAACACCCUGGUCAAAGUCAAUCUUAUGGUCCAAAUCAAAAUUUUGGUUGCCUCAACUCGCCGAGUUGGUCCGUCAACUCGUGAGUUCCAAGAUUCAGAGAACCUCGAAAUCACGAUCUAAAUCGUCAAGUUACCCUCUAACUCGUUGAGUUUCUCCUUAUGAUAGAAUUGGUACUUUCCGUUCUCCUUCAUACCGGUCGGGACAUUUGCUCAUCAACUCGUCAAGUCCAUCCUUGGACUUGUCAAGUUCUUCAUUCUUUCAGUUCAAAAACUAUGUCCAACUUACAGAGUCAUCUCCUAGACUCAACGAGUUCACUCAAAACUAGAAAGGGUUAGGGAACCAUGACCCGACUCGCCAAUUUGCUUGAACAACUCGUUGAGUCCCCCAUAUACCAAACCCAUAUAGUCGAUUUUUGUUGAGUUCAAUGCAUCCAUUCCACAGAUCUGGUAUCCUUAGGAUAGCAUAACACGUAAAGUUGCUAACUUUACGUGCAUGCAUGGUGUUAGGAAGCUAGAACACCAAAACUAAGCCAUAAAGGAGUUCUAAUGCAUGGGUUAGAGCCAUGGCCCAAUAAAGGUGGCAACUUUGAGCUUACUAAGCUCAAAUGUUCCCAUAUCUGAAGUCAUCACUCUAAUAUGCACUCAAAUCCCGAAAGUGACUAUGAAGUGGCCCAAAAAUGACAACAUGCAAGCUGCCAAUGUUCAUUUGGGCACUGAAGUCAUCACCCUGAGUCCAUAGCUGCCAAUAUCCAUUUAUAGGGCACUGAAUUCAUAGCUGUCGAUGUUCAUUUGUAAGGCACUAAGUCCAUAGCUGUCGGGUUUAGGUCGUCGAGUCUAGGCUUUUGACUCAUCGAGUAGAUGACAUUAGUCCCACGUCCCAUUCCCAUUCUACUCGACGAUUUUGGGCCUCCAACUCGUCGAGUCUCUACGCAAAAAUGAACAAUUCAAUAUAAAAAUACAUACCAGGAUCGGGGUGUUACAUAGAUAAACAAUUUUUACAUGUUUUACUUUAUUUAAAUUUUAUAUGUAUUUUUAUACCUAUAAAUAUAUUGGGUAAAUGUGACAUCCCCAAAUUCACGGUCAUUUUAAAAAUUUUAUUUAUGCUCAUUUGAAAAUCAUAGUAACCAUUUUUAAGGAAUAUUAUUGUAGAAUUUGUUCCCAGAAAAACAUGAUAAAUACAUUAUCAAGGCAUUUCCGAAGAAAUGUAUUUUAUUCAUUUUAAAACAUUUGGAUGUCAUCGUCAAUACAAAAACUUAAUCAUAAACAGACCUUACAUUUAUUUACACUAGUGAUUUAUAUCUCCUUUAAUCUCUCAGUGUAAUGUAGCUUCGUAUCGUUACUUGUGAUACAAAUAAACUGAGUGGGUCAAGUUGGGAAACCUGGUGAGUAUAUAGGGUUUUCAACCUACAAUAAUAAAGUUAUUAUGUUUUAUCAUCAAACAAUUAACCCAUUUACCCAUCCCCAUUAUCUUCUUUAUUCUUAAGGAUCUGCCCUAAGAAUCAUUUAUUCUUUCAUUCAUUCAUUCCUAAGGAUUGUACAAACGAAUAAAGAUGAAGUCCGUCACUGCCAGGGCUCAUCUAACAGGAACUAAGUCCAUAGUUGGCGAUGUUAUCUAUUAGGCACUAAGUCCAUAGCUGCCAAUAUCCAUUUAUAGGGCACUGAAUCCAUAGCUGCCAAUGUUCAUUUGUAAGACACUAAGUCGAUAGCUGUCGGGUUUAUCUAUUAGGCACUAAGUCCAUAGCUGCCAAGGUUUAUCUAUCAUGUACUAAGUCCAUAGAUGUCAGAGUUUAUCUAUCAGGCACUAAGUCCAUAGUUGCAUCUUUCAUCUCUCGUUAUUCAUCUCGUCUUUCAUCUCUCAUCUCAUCUCAUCUUUAAUUUACCCAUCUUUACCCAUCAUAAUUAUAGGUAUAAAUACAUAUACAGUUUAAAUCAAGUAAAACAUUUAUAUUUUGUUCAUUCAGCAUAGAUAUCAAGAACAUAGAUAAUAUACACACAUAACACAUAAUUUAUAUUAAAUACUUCAUAUCUAUGUGUAAGUUGAAAGUAACUAUAAACGCACAACACGUAAUUUAUAUUAAAAUUUUCAUAUCUAUGUGUAAGAUAAAAGUAACUAUGCACUCAUAGCACGUAAUUUAUAUUAAAUAUUUCAUAUCUAUGUGUCAGAUGAAAGUAACUAUGCAAUCACUUGUUAAACCAAUGAUUUCAAACUCAGGCAGCGCUUCGCUUCUAACGAUUCUAUUUUCCUUCGACGAAACCUAGCAUUAUUAUCACUAAAUUUUAGUCUAAUCUUUAUUGCGACUAAUUAUUAUUUUAGAUUCAUCAUUAACUCAAAUUCUACUUUCAUGGUCUAUCAAUUAAGGAACAACCAGGUAGGAUCAUAUCGGAGGUAGGAUCCGUUUUGUAUAUGAAGUAUACUGUUUCAAAAUCCCACUUCAAACGCCUCACUAAAUCACAGCCUAUACAUCAUCCCUGUAAGUAUAUCAAUCAAUAUAACAACUUGGAAUCACUAAUAAAUAUUUUUUGUAGGUUCAUAAUAACGAUAAUGAACUUAAACAUAAGAUAUACUUAAAGUAUGGUAAGCAUAACUUCACUUACAGGGGUUUAGCGAGGAACUAGGCUCUGCGGAGGCAAAACUUCUGAGUCGAAAAGCUCUUUUUCUCGGAGUCUCGGGCGCUCCAUGGCUUUCCUCUAGUAUGUUGAGGUUACUAGGUUUUUGGGAGGCUUAGAGAGAAAUUAGAAAGAGAAGUGAUGUAACACCUUGUUCCUGGUACGUACUUAAAUUCAUGUAGUUUCAUGUUUUUCCCUGCGACUCGGCGAGUUAGAGGCCCAACUCGUCGAGUAGACUCGAUUUUUGACCGGGAGGUUUAGUGACCUACUCGAUGAGUCGGGGGACCACCUAGAUGAGUAGAAGUUGUUUGGAUGAAACCGUAAAAUUGAGGAUUUGCACCCUAUUUAAACAACUUAUCCCGUCCCAAAGCAGUCUCCAUCGUCCCUCUCAUUUCUAGAAGACCCUAAACCAAAACCCUAGCCUCGUUUGAGUGUUCUUAAGCUAUUUUUGUGCAUUUUUGGUGGUUUUGAAGCUUUAAAAGGAGGAAGGAGCUUGGGAGUUCAAGUUGAAGCUAGUAGAUCCAGAGUUUGUGUCCCAUUUCCAGCUCAUUUGAGGUAAAAAAAGCUUCAACCUUGACUUUCCAUUUGUUAGAUCCUCUUUAGGGAUUGAAUCUUGUCAUUUUUAGGGCAUUUUUGAGUCACCUUCGGCUUUGGGGCAUUAUAUAGAGGAAUAACUUCAGAUCUGGAACCUAGGAGAGUUCUCAUGGCAUAAAGGUGCUAACUUUACUUCCAUAAGAUCCCCAUGCAUCUUGAAGACUCCAUUUUAGGGCCUUUUCAGCUAAACGGCCCAUGAAUGAACAUUAAGUUUGUAACUUUACGUACAAUAUGGACCCUAAGAGUUCAUAUCAAUGGUUUAGAUGCCUUGAGACCCACUGAAAUCGACUGUAUAGUUUUGGACAAAGAGGGACUCGGCGAGUCAUUCAUGGGACUCAACGAUUCGGGUCGUAUUUCCCCAUCAAAUCCUUCUGUUGAUGGACCAGAUGCUAAGAUAGAAGAACACUCAGUUUUCUAGGCUCAUUAGGGACCUGGAAAUCAUGGAACUCGGCGAGUGUAUGAGAAGACUCGGUGAGUUCAUGGAAAUGUCCCAACCACAUGAAGACAGACUCGGCGAGUUCAAGGAGAACUCAACGAGUCAUAGACUAAACACCUUCAUACAGGUGAAUAUGAACUCGGCGAGUCCGUUGAAGAAGUUCUCGAUGUUCUGUUGAAGGUAAACUCAUCGAGCUCUUACUAGACUCGAUGAGUAGGGACAUGGUUGUAGCAUUUUGUGGACAUGAGGACUCUACGAGUUGGUGAACCUACUCGGCGAGUCUAGUCAACCAGAUGCUGACUUUGACCAACGUUGACUUGACCAUGGUUUUGACUUUGACUUUAAUUUGGAAUUGAGUGACCCUUGUAAGGGUUAUGAGUCUGAAAUGUUAAUGUAGAAAGGAAUUUGUUUAGGGAUUGAGGAGUCAAGAAGAGUCGAUUUUCAUACCGAGGACAGUGCAGACACUACACGACAUCGAGGUGAGUUACCUUCUCAUAGAAGUGGGUCUAAGGCACCAAGGCCCGCCCACUAGUACUUGAUUAUAGUUGAGAUGAUUGUCUUUGUGAUAGUCGUCUUCUUUGCUACUACCUUGUAUGUUUAUGUGUUAGCAUGCUAUGUUAUUUGUGAUAGUGGUAGUAAUAAGGGGAAUAUUCCUCGGAUACCGGUCGAUAGGGCCAAAGGGGUAGUUUAGUACCAACUAUGCUAGAUAGUAUGAUCUUGUUGUGUUAGUAUGUGAUAGUAGUAGGGGUGAAAUAGUCCUCGUAACUGUUUGAGAUAAACCGGAGGGGUAGGUCGGACACCCCGGUAUGUCUGACAAGGGUAGGUUAGGCACCCCAGUAUGCCUAGCAGGGUAGGUCUGGCACCCAGAUAUGUCUGACAGUAUGUUUGUAGUAGGGUAUGUGGUAUGAAGGGGGAACUCACUAAGCUUCGUGCUUACAAUUUUCAGUUUUGUUUCAGGUACCUCUUCAUCGGUGGGGAAGGAGCCGUCACGGUAGCAGCGCAUCACAUACACAUACUGGGUUACGCAUUUUGAUAUUCAUGGGAUUGUACUCUGAUUUUAUUAAUGUUCAACGUUAUGAUUUUGAGACAUGUUUACUAUGGUUUUAUGGAUUGAUAUGAUAUCGACAAUUUUUACAGUAAAUGGUUUUAUAAGUUACUUAAUUAAAAACAAAAUUUUUGGACUCGAAAUUUGGGAUAUUACAAGUGAAGGGGUUUUGGUGUGGAAAAUAAAGUCACCCUCGCAUACUAUUUAUGUUGGGUUUUGAGCAUUCUAACACUCCUAAGUGUACAUGCAACCCUAAAUAGCAUAAUAACUUGAAUAUAACAAGAUAGAAUACAUACCUCUUUGACGUAGAAAGUCUUCAUGAAGCUUGAGUCCCUAGUGCCACAAGUGUGACACCUCAAAUGGUUCACAAACAUCAAUUGCUUUUGGAAUAACCUUGAGAGAAAUGUAGAACACUUGAAAUCGGCUAGCCCUUCUCUAGAACCAUACUAGUGCCGAUUUUGGUCAAGAAUAAGAUGCAUAUAUAGUUAGGGUUACACCAUGUAAACCCUAAUUGACAUGGCCUUUCAUUUCCAUGAUCCAUGGGUACAAAAAAACACCAUGGAGCAUCCAUGAAGCAUCAUAUGGGUUUUAGACCAACUAGAUAAUUCAUGGAGCAUUAACCCACUAUAUAAGUAUGGAUGAUUUACACAAUCAACCCAUAUAUUUAAUUAUUCUUCUUUUCAUCACUUAAUUAAUCCUAGAUUAAUUCUUGAUCAAUACUAAUUAAAUAAUCUUAUUAAUAUAUUAGAACUUAUAAUAUAUUAACCAACCUUAAGUGUUAUUUCUCUCAUUAUAGUCUAUCUAAAUGCAUGAUGUCAUGGAACCCAAAUGGCCCAUGUCGGGUCGGGUCAAGUCUUGCCAAUUAUAGUUAUGGACUUAGACAUUAAUCCAACAAUUUAUAGGCUGAAUUUUGGACCUACUCAUCAAGUUUUGGCCCCUAACUCGUCGAGUUGGUGCCACAUGUCACCAUCUGCUGGCAAGGCUUGGGGAGGAAGCAAUGGUCCAGAUUAAGCCACGUCACCCCUUUCGCUGCAACACCAUUUCGACUUAUAAAUUCCGUAACAUCCGCAUACGAGCUCGGUUUUCGAAGUUUUUUUAUAUCCACACAUAGCUGGAGACCUACUCUACAACUUUCGUUUAGACUCCGUCGGCUAAUUCACGACCGAUUUUUAAAAUUCAUAACUUCUACAUACGGACUUCGUUUUUGACUGUCUUUUUAUCAUUGAGAUCCUAUUAAUGAGAUCUUCAAUUCUCAUUUAGGUUGUGUCGGCUAGAAAUCAAUCGAUCUAAAAUUUGAAUUCUGAGUUGUGCACUACUAUGCUAAAUCUUAUAAAAAUCAUAACUUCCUCAUACAAAGUUGGAUUUGGACGUUCUUUUUAUGCACUUUCUCGGUUUAACGUAUACUACGACUUGUGUUUAGAUCAAUAAGGCUAAAAAUUAUUUUAUCAAAAAUUCACUUUUUACGUUACACAGUGUUGUGCCGAUUUAACCGUAAAACUUCGACGGGUCAUAACUUCUUCGUUAUAACUCAUAUUUCAGAGUUUUUUAUAUGUAUGGAACCCUUGGCGCUUAUUGUCUCUAAAUUGACUAACCCGAAUCUACGGACGUUACAGUAAAUAUAGGUACAUGAAAAUGAUAUAGAUGAUAAGAGAUGAAAGAUGUUGUGGUAUGAUGAAAAAUAGGAUGACAAAAGAAGUAGGCAAUGAUAGAAUGCCACGACUUUGGAAUUGUUAUUUUACCAACGAUGUAGUCACUUAGCAAAGUAUAGGUGACAACUACCAGAAUAAUUGAUGAUAGUCCCGUAGAACACUGACAACUAUGGACUUAAUGCCUAUUAGAUAUAUACUGGCAACUAUAGACUUACUGCCCAAUAGAUAAACAUUGGCAGCUAUGGACUUAGUUCCCUAUAGAUGAACAUUGGAAGUUAUGGACUUAGUGCCUAAUAGAUAAACACUGGCAGCUAUAGACUUAGUGCCUAUUAGAUAAACCCUUGCAGUGAUGGACUUCGUGCUUAUUCCUUUGGAUAAAUCCUUAGGUAUAAAUAUAGAAGAGUACCAAAUGACAAGUAUCAUGGAGGAAUCCCUGAACUAGUAUUGUUAGCAUAGAUGAUUAUGGUAGAUCCUUAAGAAUAAAGAAAAUAAUGGGAUGGGAAUUUGGGUUAAUUGUUUAAUUAUUAUUAAUUAUAUUAUUGUGGGUUGAAAACCCUAUGUAGCCACCAGGUUUCCCAACCCGACCCAUCAGUUUAUUGUAUCACAAGUAGCAAUAUUAAAGAUACAUUAUGUUGAGAGAUUUAAGGAGAUGUAGAUCAUUAGUGUAAAUUAAUGUAAGGUUUGUUUAUGCUUAUAUUUUUGUAUUGACGAUGGCAUCCCAAUGAUUUAAUAUAAAUAAAAUACAUUUCUUUGUAAAUGCUCUGAUAAUAUUAUUAUCAUAUUUUCUGGUAACAAAUUCCACAAUAUUAUUCAUCAAAAGGAUACUCUAAUUUUAAAUAAAGCAUAAAAAUGGUCUUUUCUAGCCGUGAAAUUAGGGAUGUCACACCCGACAUAAGUGGAAGUUAUGGAUUGCAUCUAUGAAAUACAGAUUGUGUUCGAUAGUUGUGACUGUAGCAACAAACAAAAGACCAUCUUAGCGGUCAGACAGCUAAAGAAUGGAGUAUUGAGCUAGUGGAAGUUCUUGGCUUAUUCCAUGCCGAAGGGAAAAGCAAGGAAGAUCUCUUGGGAGACCUUCGUUGAGGAGUUAAAUAGGUAAUAUUGCUCUGAACAAAAUCUUAGGGAAAUCAACAAUGAAUUCUAGAAUCUGAAAGAAGGGAAGAUGAGUGUUAGCAAGUGUGUUGCAGUUUUCACUGAAACAAUAAAGCUAGUUCCCAACUUGUUUCCUACCGAACUUUCCAGGGUAAAUAAGUUUGCUAUAGGUCUACCAGUAGAUUUUUGUCCAACGGUGAAACUAGUGACCACUCUGAAAGCAGUCAUCUGGAUGGAUAGGAAUGUGGAGAGCCAGAUAAAGGAAAAAGGUCUGGAGAAAGCAGAAACUGGAGAGAAAAUGAAGUUUAAGGGGUCUUUAAAUCUGAUAAAAAGAGCAGGUUUUCAAAGUCUGGACCCAAUGAUAAAAGGUAUGGGGAUAUCAACAAGGAAAAUUGAUGUGAGAAGUGCAAGAAGAAACACUUAGAGAGAUGCACUAAUUAUGUGACUUGCUUCAACUAUGGAAAGACUGGUCAGUAUGCUAGUGAUGUGUGUGAAAUGCACUAGUUUUAGUCCUACUUUUAAAAUAUAUUUUAGACACACAAAGGCAGUGGACCUGUCAAUUGGUGGUAUAAUUGAAUAAGCAGUGUAUCGAACACAUGGAACGGCAACUAAGCUAAUUACUAGAGUUGUCUAAAACAAGUAAUAAAAAGGAAAGGUUUUCUCUAGUUUUGCAAGACUAGAAACUUAAACAAUUAAAUAAAACUCAAACUAAGCAACUAAAAGCUAAAGCAAAUAAAUAAUCAACUAAAUUCAAUAAUGGAGAAGACUUCUAUUUAGAUUUAGUUCAUUUACUCCUAAAAAAAUGAGUUUUAGCUCAUGAUUACAGCAGGAAGUAACUCAAAAACGAAAUAUGAGUUUUAGCUCAUGAUUACAGCAGGAAGUAACUCAAACAAGAGAUUAAGUAAAGAAUAAACUAAAACUGCCUUUUAUCUUCUCAAGAUUGAAAACUAGGGGUGUUCCAUGAAUUCCAGAGCUCCAACUAUACCUUCAGUCACAAAUUAAUCCCUAAGGGUUCCAGAGAAGGUUUUAAUUUCGGGCCUAUGUGUUCUAUUUAUAGAUUUCAGAAAACAGAGGCUACUCGCCGAGUCCCUCAUUAAAAAAUCGUGUACGGCAAGGUAUUAUGUAUGCUUCGUGAAUGUUCGUGUCUACUCGUCGAGUAGACAUCCGAAUCGCCGAGUAUACAUAGGUUUUGACUCUUUUUCUUCUUUCUUCAACUCCCGGGCUCCCGAGUGCAUUUCUCGCUUCAUUUUUCUUUUGAGCGCAUCUUUUAGGCUGAAAAUAUAAUUUAAACAUAAUUAAGUACCUUUUGUCCAUAAAUUGCAAUAAAUUAGCCAAAAAGUAUUAAAAUUCUAUACAAAAUAUAUAGCUAAAUAUGCACAUAUUAGCUAGCAAAUGCACCCAGACCGUAUGUUACAAAUAUGGGGAAGCAGGACAUAUCAGGAAUGACUGCCCAAAGAAAAACGAAGCAGCAAGGCCGAAUGUGCUGCCAAAGCUAAAACCAAGAGCAAUCCCGAUGACCCUUAAUGAAGUAGAUGGCACUAUAGGAAAUUAAGAUUAGGGAGUUGCUAAUCUGGAAUCCAAGAUAUGAAUUAGUCACCUAUAUAAGAUAAUAUUAUGUUAUGUAGCCUGAUGAAAAAGGGCAUGAUGUAUUGUGAACUUGAAUAACAUCGUAAUCAUUUUCAAGAAGUAAUACAAUCCCUAUUUAUGUUAUAUGACUCAAUGUGGUAAGUUGCUAUAUGAUUUUCUUGUAUGGCGACUUGGGGACUACAAUGUAAUUCUUGGGACGAGUAUGAGUAGGUGUGAAAGGUAUUAGAGACCUAUAUUAUCGGAAGCACAAGACUCGCACUUGUAUCAAGGAGAGUCACAAGGUUACUAGAGGAACUAGUAGUUGAGUUAAUUUUUCUAAUCAUCAUCAUUACUUUUGUUUCGGUGAUGACUAAGAAAACAAAUGUUUUUCCGACCGUAGUGGUUGUUGGGUGUAUGGUGUUGCGUCUUGGGCUCGGCUCUUAGCCCUGUUUAGUAUCCGGAUUGGGCCUGUCCAUCCGUGAUUUAUUUGUUAGGGUUUAAGUAUAUAUAGGUGAUUGCAUGCAUCUUAGUACGUAAGAUUCAGGAGUAGAUUUGAUAUCGUUUGAUUGUUAUCAAUGGUAAACCCUAAAGCCUCUACAGCGGAAGUUCUUUGUCGAGCUCAACUGAGGCUUGAAUCAUUUGAAUCAUUAAGCAUACUGUUGAUUCCAUCUCUUGUUUAUUACUUUGUUUGAAUCGUUUUGCCAAACCUGUGUAAGAUCUAAACGAUCUAAGAGAUUCAUAUCUCAUCAAUUGGUAUCAGAGCAGGAGGCUGUGUAAUUCAUACACAUCUCUUCUGUCAUAGAAGUGAUUAGGGUUUAUUCCGCAUGCAUUGAUAUUUAUUGAGCCGUCACUCCAUUAUUGACGUAUCUCAUUAAUUAUUAAAUAUGCCCUAAUAUUAUGUAUUACAAAUUCUGAUCUUAUAACAGGUUAAAUGAUCAAGCAUGGACGAUUCUCAAUCCAAUCCAAUCAACAUUUCUAACAGCAUCGGAUCAACAACCAAGAUUCCACUCCUCUACACUCAAGAUUAUGAAGUGUGGACGCAUCAUUUUGAAGACUACGUUAUUGGAUCAGAGGACAACGGGUAUCUUAUAUGGGAAGCAAUCGUAAAUGGCCCAUUUGCUCAUUCAAAGACUUCAAAAAUCAUUAAAACUCAAAAAGAGUACAAUGAUCAGUUGAAAGAUGUAAAUGACGUCGCUCAGGACGAAAAAGAGAAAUUUCAAUGCAACAUUAAGGCAUUGAGACUAAUCCGGUUUGCCCUUCAAUCUGACACGUUUCGUUUGGUUAGUUCAUGUAGUACAGCGAAGGAAAUCUGGGAUAGGCUGAGAGAACUGUAUUCGACAGAUGAAGACCUGGAGCACUCGAUUCAGACCCUUCUUCUCUCCAAAUUUGGAGAGUUCAAGCAAAAGCCAGAGGAGUUAGUUACACAAACUUUCGAUCGAUUCAACCAUCUUCUCAGUAAAAUGAUCAAACAUGACAUUGAAAGAAAGCUGAUCGAACAGAAGGUUACCUUUUUAAAUGGUCUAAGAUCCGAAUAGCGGGUGGUCGUAUCAACAGUUAAAGCACAUGAACAGUUUAAAUCUUAUUCACCGGCGAAACUAGUAGGAAUUCUGAAAUCCCAGGAAAAGACGGUGUUGCAAGAAAAGAGUGUGGUCACAAACUUGGGAUCUUUGGCCCUUCUGUCUAAAAGUAAGAAUGCAGUAGAAGACGAAGAUCUGGACCUAGGGGACUACGAUCUAACUUCAGAGGAUUAUGCAAUGAUGGUAUCCAAUCCCAAAAGGUUCAUCAAGAAGAAGUUCCCUACCAAUAAGAACCGAAAUUGGCAGGGCAGCUACAGUUCUGAAAAGGUGAAGGAGGAGUCGAAGACUGAAGAACCUAAGAAAGAGGCGAAGAUGGAAGUUGAUUCUGGUGUCAGUUGUUAUUACUGUGGAAGAAAGAAUCAUUAUGCCAAAGAUUGUGUUUUGAAGAAAAUGAUGGAAAAAGAUGAGGAGAAAGAUGAAGAAGCAAUUCUCCUGAAAAAGUUGGAGGAGAUUAAAAAGAAGAAAGUUGCUAGUAAUCCCUCUAUGAAUGCUCUGAUUGUGAAGGGUUCAGCAGAUGAUGAUGAGUUCGGGGGCGUUCAAGUUUGGUCAACCGAAUCAGAGGAUGAUGAAGUGAGAAAGCCUUCUCAUGGAAAGGCUUAUGUUGCAAAGAGUGAUGAUGUUAGUGGAAGAUGUUUCAUGGUGACGGAUGUGUCUCAGAUGAGGGGAUACAACACUGAUGGUGGAAAUGAUGCAACCAAGGAAAGAGAGGACGUAUGCUUUACAGCAAAGCCUCUCAGUGUGCAGAUCAAUGAGCUUGAUGAAUUGAUCAAGAAGGUACAAUCCAUUUUUAUUUCGUUUAAAGAUCCACAAGUAUCAUACGAAAAAGAAUUAAUAAACUUGAACUCAAGAAUUUCGAGUCUAGAUGGUUGUUUAACUCAAACACGUGUCACAAAUUUUAAUCUAACUGACCAAAUGAGCAGGGUGUCAUCUAAAAGUGAGGAGCGAAGGAUGUGGAUUGAGCAGAAGGAGUCGGAGCUAAUUAAGUCUAGAGAUGAAAACAUUUAUUUGCAAAGAGACAAUUUGAAAUUGUUAAAACAAAGGAAUGUUUUUUGUUUGAUUGGUAAAAGACUUUAUGCUAACAUUACUCAACUGCAUCUAAAUUGUGAAAUAGGGCAGAAGAUACAUCGCAUGAUUCUACCCUUCCUUGAGUUUAAGGAGGAUGAAAUCGAUGCCGAAGUAUACAACUGUGAAAGUGUUGUAUCUUCCGAUGAUGUCAAUCCCACUUAUAUGUAUGGUAUGUAUAAAAUAGAAUCUUUUAUAAAGUCCAAAGACCAUAAGGACAUGCUUAAAAAUAUUUUGGAUGAAAAUGAUAAGCUGAAACUCAGGACCGAAACCAUACAAAAAUUCGACUCAUUGAAUGCCAAUUUAAGUUCAGAAAAUAAAAUUGAUGUUGAAAACGCAUCUAAACUUGAUGAGGACGAUGAUAUGAGUGAAAUUUCUAUAGAGGUUGAAGUCGACUGUUCUGAGUUUGUCAAGAGCAAACCCGAAAAUCACAAAAAUCUAAUUUCUGAAAAUUCUGUGGAAUUCGGUCGCUUGUCCAAAAAUAAGUCCCCAGCCCUUAAAGAAAAGGUUGUUGUGUAUCAAAAGGUGAGAACCACACCGAAUCAAGUGUAUAAGGUCACAGGAGUAACCGAACAUUAAACAGCCGAACUCACUGCCAUAGUGAACAAAGAUAACGCAGAUGGCUGUGAUGAGUUUUUCUGGUUAGCACCCAUAGACAAUGCAGACGAAACAAUUGGUCUGUCAGAGCGAACUUCAUGGAAAACCAAAGGCAGAUAUGUGCCUAAACCACUGAAUAAGCCUACCAAUUUUGACGUACCAAGUACAAGCGGCACAAAAGAAACCCCUGUAGAAGAAGUCACCUCCACAAGCGAAACCUCACCUAUGAAGAGUGAACCUAUAGUUCAGAAGCUGAAACAGAAGGCAAAUAUUCACAGACAACCCAAACAGGUGAAAAAUCAAAAGCAGCAGAGGAAUCUGAGGUAUAAGAAAAACCUCUCAGAGCGAAAACAAUUUUGGCGUUCCCAAAACCCUCACUAUGCUCACUUCGAGGGGAACUCCAAGGCCAAAAAAGGAGAAAAACAGGAUAAAGGAAGCCUCAAUCCUAUGAACCAAAAGAAUCAAAAGAACACAUCUGGAUCACAAAAAGAACAAGACCAAUAGGAUAGGUUCGGUCCUGAAAGAAACAACUACCCAAAGUCUUGUUUCGGUCCUCCGAAUAACAGCAGACAAAAACCAGGGUUUAGUCCAUCCAGCUUUUAUAGCAGGAAACCCAGUGUUGGUUCAGAGACCCACAACAACCGNGUCCUUCCUCGACAAGAACCGAAGGUCAAGGUUCGGUCUCUCAAAUGAUUACAACGGAAAGGGUCAUUUCAAAUCUGAAAACAGGAGAGAUUCUAAUUCUAAUUCUUCUCAUUAUCCUUCUUCAUCUAAACCUAAUUCUCGUCCCUCAUCAUGCUCUCAGUCGUCAAAGGAUUUGAAAGGAAAGACUAAAAUUUCCUUAGCAAAAGAAGACCGAAAGCAAGCUAGUAACAAAAUCCCUGAACCUAACUCCAAUAAAAUCAAAGUGUUUACAAUUAAGAGGAAAGAUGAAACAACAUUAAUAAAACGAACAUAUCUUGUUGAUAUCUCUCUUACUAUUCCUGUUCCUGUGAAAGGCUCACGAGGACCCAAGAAACUUUGGGUUCCUAAAUCUGCUUAAUUUUUGCAGGUUAUCAGUGACGAGCAGUUUGACGAAGAAUGGUACAUUGAUAGUGGCUGCUCACGUCACAUGACAGGAAGGAAGGAAGAGCUAAGGGAAUUUCGAUCUCUGCAAGAUGGUGGCAAUGUCAAGUUCGGUAACAACUCCUUUGGAACGAUAAAGGGUUAUGGGAUGAUAACCAAUGGAGACUUCACAAUACGAAAGGUGGCGUACGUAGAAGGAUUGCAGCAUAAUCUCAUCAGUGUAUCUCAACUGGUUGGAGGUACUGGUCUCAAAGUUUCAUUUGAUGAUGAAUGUUCAGAAAUCAUAGAGAAGAAAACUAAAAGGGUGAUUCUCAAGUCAAAAUGAAAAGGCGAGAUGUUUCCAUUAAAUCUCAACCCAAUCAAAGGGAAUCCUGCCAUCUGUCUUCUGUCCAAAGCUCAUUCACACGAAAGUUGGUUAUGGCACCGAAGGCUCUCACACCUCAACUUCAAAGACAUCAAUAAGCUCGUCAUCGGUGAUCAUGUUCGAGGUCUUCCAUUUCUCAAGUUUGAUCGAGAACACUUAUGUGCUGCUUGUGAAAUGGGGAAACAAAGUCGCAAAAGUCACUCAACAAUUAUAAACACCAAAUUUGUUGAACAACUUGAGUUACUUCACAUCGACUUAUGUGGACCAUCAUCCAUCGAGAGAAUUGGCGGUAAUAAGUAUAUUCUCGUUAUUAUUGAUGAUUUCUCACAGUUUACAUGGGUGUUCUUUCUAAAGCAUAAAUCAGAGGCAACUCCCAAGUUGAAACUCUUUAUCAAGCAGGUCGAAGUGCAAUUGAGAAAAGUCGUUCGAAACAUCAGGAGCGAUAAUGGAUUAGAAUUCAAGAAUAAAGAAUUCGAAGACUUCUUGGCAGAAAAGGGCACAAGUCACAAUUUCUUAGCCCCAUAUACUCCUCAACAGAACGGGAUUGUCGAAAGGAGAAACAGAUCUCUAUGUGAGGCAGCCCGAACCAUGCUGAGUUUCGCCUCACUACCACUGUACUUCUGGGCAAACGCCAUUGUUGCAGCAUGUUUCACUCAAAAUAGGAGUUUUCUCAGCAAACGUUUCUCUGUCACCCCCUAUGAAAUUCUUAACAGUAGGAAGCCGAAUGUCAAUUUCUUUCAUGUGUUCGGCUCAAGGUGCUUUAUUUUCAAAUCCAAAGAAUAUCGCAACAAAUUUGAUGUUAAAGCAGACGAAGGCAUUUUUCUGGGAUACUCACUUACUUCAAAGGCGUACAGGGUUCUGAAUAAACGUUCCAAACGUAUUGAAGAAACCUAUUAUGUAACAUUUGAUGAUACCUAUGUCAAGAAGUUGCAGUCUAUUGACGGCAAAAUGGGAGAGAUCUUUUCUCAAUCUGGUCAAGUCACAGCCACUGUCGCUAAUUUGUUUGACCAAUUCAUGGAUUUGUUUGAUGAACCAGAGAAAGCUAUUCACUCUGAAGCGCAGGCAGCAGACAACAAGGUGGAUCAUCUUAAGAAGAUUUUCGAAGACUCCGCCAAACAGAUGGAUGAAGAAGAACCAGUUCGAAGCGAACCUCCUCAGAGCAAUACUUCAGUCGAGGGGGAGAAACACUUCUCUUCUGAACGACAGGAGUCACAUAUCCAGGGGGAGAGUCCAUCAUUUUCAAUCGAUGAUAAUACUCAUGACCAAAGGUAAACUCCAAUCUUUGAAGGAACCGAAAGCCCUCCCAGAUCUGAAAGUCCAAUAGCACCUGAAAGUCCAAUAGCAACCGAAAGUCCGGAUUCGCCUAGAAGCCCAGUAGCGGAAGAUUUUUUUGGUUCACCUCCAAAUGAUUCGUCAUCUAUCGAGGGGGAGAAUUCCACUUUGCUUUAUGAUGAUGAUAUUCUAUCUGAGUUGGAAGAAGAGGUAAAUGCUGAAUUGGAUCCCACUUAUGAUCCAAAUUAUCCUCCUCUCAUCAAAUGGACCAGAGAUCACCCUGUGUCUCAAAUCGUGGGUGAUGCAUCUGAAAAGGUUCUGACUUGAUCACAACUGAAGGCGAAGCAAACUGCUUUAUUCUCGAAUGUAGAAUUAUGUAUGUUUAACUCUUCUGUUUCAAAAAUAGAGCCUAAAACCGUCAAUAAUGCUCUCGAUCACUCUGAUUGGGUUCAAGCAAUGCAAGAUGAACUCAAUGAGUUCGAAAGAAAUAAGGUGUGGAGACUUAUUCCAACACCAAAAGAUGCCUCGGUCGUUGGUCUCAAAUGGGUGUUCAGAAACAAAAUGCACAAGGAGGGUAAUCUAAUCAGGAACAAGGCACGGUUAGUAGUGAAGGGAUACUACCAGGAAGAAGGAAUAGAUUACGAAGAGACAUUCGCUCUGGUUGCAAGGCUGGAAUUUGUUCGCAUAUUUCUUGCCUAUGCUGCACACAAUAACUUUGAAGUCUACCAAAUGGACGUGAAGUGUGCCUUUCUGAAUGGGGAUCUUGAAGAAACCAUGUACGUGGAGCAACCUGCUGGUUUUGUAAACGAAAAGCAUCCUAAUCACUGCUAUAUCUUGGAUAAAGCAGUUUAUGGUCUGAAACAAGCUCCUAGGGCAUGGUAUGAAACUUUAACUAAAUUUUUAAAUAUGUCUAAAUUCAAACAAGGUUCGGUUGACCCAACCUUCUUUCGUAAAAAGGAAGGUAACCACCUUAUGAUCGUUCAAAUCUAUGCCGAUGAUAUCAUCUUCGACUCAACGAAUCCUAGCUUAACAGCUGAAUUUAGAAAGCUGAUGGAGACUAAAUUUGAAAUGAGCUCAAUGGGUCCGAUUAACUUUUUCCUUGGUUUAAACAUUAGUCAGGGACCAGAAGACAUCUUUAUCAACCAGGAAGCAUACACAAAGACACUUCUUGCUAAAUUUGCCAUGUUGGGAGAAUCAAAAGUCAAAGUCCCUAUGGCGUUCGGCACCAAGCUCACACCUUCUUUAGAAAAACCGGCAAUCAACAUCACUUUAUAUCGACAAAUGAUUGGUUCCUUGAUGUAUCUCACAGCGAUCAGGCCCGGUAUAAUGUUUUCAGUAUGCUAUUGUGCCAGGUUUCAAGCAAAUCCUCGUAAACCACGCAUGCUAGCUGAAAAGAAUAUAUUCAGGUAUUUGAAGCGAACCACCUCUCUCGGUCUCUGGUAUCCCUCAAACUCAGGUUUCUUCGUUCAAGCCUACUCAGAUGCAGACUUUGGAGGAUGUGGUCUAGAUCGAAAAAGCACCACAGAAGGUUGCCAAUUCCUACACGGGAAGUUAAUUAGCUGGUAAUCAAAGAAACAAACAUGUGUUUCUCUGUCUACAGCCGAAGCAGAGUACAUUGCAGCUACCUCCUGUACAUCUCAAGUGAUUUGGAUCCAAAGCCAGCUCCGUGAUUAUGGACUCAAUAUGAAAAAGAUCCCACUAUAUUGCGAUUCAGAAAGUGCAAUUAGGAUCUGUCAUAACCCAGUGCAAUACUCCAAGACCAAGCAUAUAGCACAGAGGUAUCACUUUAUUAAGGAUCAUGUGGAAGAUGGAAACGUCGAAAUUCACUUUGUUCGAACCACUGAUCAACUGGCCGAUAUCUUCACCAAAGCCCUACCUGAAGCUAGUUUCAAUAAAAUCCUUCAAGGUCUAGGCAUGAUGGAAUCGGAGUCAGUUCCAAAAACACCAUCUUAAAACUAAAAGUUAGAAGCGAAAUGAACCGAACGCUCGGUCUAUUUCGGGUUCGGUUCACAUGGGAACCGAAAUGAACCGAACGCUCGGUCUAUUUCGGGUUCGGUCCCAUUGCACUUGUUUUCGCUCAAUCUCAAAAAGGUAUUAUCUAUUGUUGUAUAUUUAUGUACAGUUGUUUUCCAAAAAUCCAAAAAAAAAAAUUGAACUGAAAUGAACCGAGCGUUCGGUCCAUUUCGGGUUCGGUUCAAAAAAAAAUUCUUCCUUUUUGGUUUGGUUUUUCUCGUUACAAAAAUAUCAAAUCUCCAAAAAUAUUUUCUUUCUUUUCUAUUUUUGUUUAUCAUUCCUGAACUAUCGAUGGGGCAAGUACCAUUCUCACACUUUAUACUAGUUAAGCGUCCCUAGAAGCAUGAUGUUGUAUGUGUCCAAAGCCUCAUCUGAUUCUGAAUAAUAGCCUUACUGACUUGGUAUAUACAAACCUUGUCUUCCCAAUUAGGCUUUUCUAUUUAUUCUAAUCAUGAGCUACCUUACUCUCUUCUCACAUGAGAUAAGAGUUUUCUGCUUUGUCACUAUUUUUUUAGCAGAGGUACUUUGGUUUCUUUUCACCACCUCAAAUAUUUUUCUCCAUCAUAUUUCGAUCCCAUAUAGUAACCCUUGAGACUCUCAGAAAUAACCACUGAGGUUUAUGGUUACACAAUCUCUGUGUUUAUGAUCUUAGCCUCGUGUCACUACGUGCUAAGUGAAACCCUAAAUUCAAUACCUACCAUGAAUUGACGGUAAACCAUUACAUUUGUAGUUGUAUCAUGAAAUCUCUUUCUUUUGUGUGAUUCUUAUGAAAUUGUUACUCACCAUGACAUUUCUUCCCAUAGAAUCCAGUUUUAAUAUUUUGAGAUUUCACAAAUAAACAUUUCCAACAAGUCACCACAAAUACAUCCCAACCUACUUGUUCAACAUACCACAUCGGUCUCACAAGUACUUCGUUUGGUUUCGGUCUUAUGUCAAGGUCCGGGAUUCAAAACUGAAGCGAAAGCCACCCUUUUAAGCCUUAUCAAAAGAUGCCUUUCAACACUUCUUAACAAGUGUUUGAUCGUAAUUCAACGGGAAUCCAUACAGACACUUUAAAGUCUCUCUUGACUUUGAAGGAAUAGAUUCAUGCCCAGGAUCCACUGUUUUAUGUCUACAUUGACAUCACAUAUUCCCUCAUAGAUAUUGUUUUCUCUCUUUAUCUUUUGACACUCUAUGCACGAAAAUCUUUUGAUUUUCCAAAAGUAUGGUUUGAUUCGAUACAUGUUAUUUACUCUUGUAUAGCUUUGGGUCUCAAAGAAAUUCUUUGAUUCUAUCUCAUGAUGACAGCUAUGUUAAAAGAUAUGAUGAUGGCUCAGCCGGAAGGUCAACAGUUCAAAAGGUGAUAUGAUGAAAAGGCGCGUUUGACGGCAUAGUAUUUCUCUCUCAUGCGUAAUCAUCGGGGUUGCUAACAGUCACAAAUCAGUCAAUUCCGGAAACAUUUCACAUUUCGAGAGGAUUUGGGGACUGAUUCUUCUCUCUCCGCUACCCGGUAUAAAGGGAUCAUUCCAAAAUCCUUUAUCACUUUACAGCAAUCCAAAAUCAGAGAGCAAUCUAAGGCGAUUUAUCCUUUACUGUUCAUCUUCUUCAACCCAGUUUUCAACAAUGGCGGAUUCUUCGUCUGUUCAUGAAACUUCUUCUCGCACCCACAUUCUCCCUAUUCGACCUCAACAAAGCCUGGUGAUUGACCUCAAUCCUCUUGUCUACAAUCACUACAUGUAUCCCAUCGUGGAGUGUCUCAAAUACUCUCCACUGGUUCUCGCCUUGUCGAAGGUGGAAAUCGUACCCAUGGAGUGUCUUUCCCAGGUAUUCUCCACUGCUCAUUAUGACAAAUCAGUGGAUAGAAUCUACUUCGACAUUCUUUCCAACAAGACCUCCAUAUCCAAGCAACGUUUUUGCUGGCUUCUAGGGUUUGAACCUGAUGAAUCAAGGGUUAACCCUGACUCAAUCUCUGUGGGACAGUUAUUCUCAAUGUUCUACGACAUGGGCUACACAGAAAUUCUCACUACAGUAACGAAGUUUAAAAAGUCGUGUCUUCCUCCUCAAUGGAACGGCUUCUUCACCCUUCUAUUCAAGGGAUUAUCUGAGAGAAGUGCUGGUUCUGAUGGGGCCAGUAAAUUGUUCAUGACCAUUCUCUACGGGUUGUACAAUGGGAUCAACCUAGAUUAUGGCUCGGCUCUCUGGCAACAGCUAAUUCAAAGCCUUGCCUCCUCAUCUCGUCAUACUGAAGUAUCCUAUGCCAGAUUUUGGACGCUCAUCACCAAAUGGGCAAUGGACAAGCUUCAUGUUCCAAUUGUAGCUGAUUCCCCCCUCUCCUCGAUCAGUGUCUUCCACACCACCAAGAUAAUUGUCACUGAUCCCACCAAGUUCUCUUUCAUUGGAUCCAUUCCGGAGUCUAUGUACGCCGGUGUGUCAAAGGCGAGCAUUAUCAUGAAGACCUACAAGGAAUUUCGUCCUUCGGGUCCAAGGGAGCUGACUGCAGAGAUGGUUCAAUCCAUCAAUGACGCAGAUAAACCACCUGCCAGGGGAAAGAAACCAGAUAAAGGGAAACUUAAGAAACAGGCUCAAGGGGCGAAGGGUCCUUCUCCUAAGAAGCGGAAACCCUCAAAGACAGAUCAAUCCCCCCCACCGAAACGGAAGAAAACCCAGCCAAGGAGGAAACUAAUUCUCGCUUCUUCCUCAAGCGAUUCAGAGGCUGACAAGUCUGACUCAGAGGUAUCAGCUCGAGGUGAUACUCCUCCCUAUUCGCCUUCACAUGAGGUACCAGUUUCAUCCAAAUCUAUUUCUUCUCCUCCUACCACCAUACCUAAUUCCAUUCCCCCCAUAACCACCACUAUUUCCAUUCCCCCUAUAACCUCUUCUAUCCCUAUACCACCCCCAUCUAUUCCUAUACCACCACCCAUUUUCACUGAAGCCACCAAAACAACUAUCAGUGAGGUUCGAACCAACGUAUCUGAUACGGGGGAUCAAACUUCAACACCCGAAACCACCUUUACUACUGAGCCAUCUUCUACACCUGAACCUACCCCUACCACUGAACCUCCCACUUCACCCUUAUCUCCCACUCCCUCAGCAGAAACCGAGACAUUUUUGGGUGGGGAAAAUAUGACCUUUGAUUCCACAUACUACAACCCUUACCGGAUCCAAAGCGAUGAUGAUGAUGAUGCUCCUGUCACCAGAAAGCACAUCAAAGAACUUCAUGAGAAAAUUGACAAUCUCAUCGCUUCUUCCUCUUCCUCUCGGUCCCACGUGACAGAGGUUGCUAUUCAGAAAAUGGUGGAUGCCUUCACCAACAAACACGAAGCCUCCAUCACCUCUGCCACUGUUGCCAUUGAUGCAUCCUCAAAGGCAUGAACUGUUGCGACCGAAAAAGUCGAAAAACUAUUCAAAGAUGCUAACAUUUUUCUUGAGUCUUUGCAGGGGGCUGUCGAAACCAAUGCAGAGAAGGUCAAUUCUGCCAUUACGAAACUGACCACUUUGUUUGCCACUUAACAGAAGAACUUUGCUAGUCUUCGACAGACUCUUGAAGCAAACCAUCUGAUACAUUGUCUCAAUUAUAUCCCUUAAAAAUUUACACCUUACUAAUGAGAAUCAAACUGAAUGGGGAAGACUGAUUCCCAAUCUGUUCCUUGAAAUAAGGGAUUUGAGUCCUUUUUUCUUGUUUCUCUUCUGUUUAUAAAUAAACAUUGCCACCGCCAACAGAAACAGUUCCAACAAAUAGAGUAUUGUUCUGCCUACACGAUGUUAUUCUGUUUUAGAUGUGCCAUGGAUGUUCUCUGUCGAUCUCUCUCCUCUGUUUCUUUUCUUAAAAUCACUACUGCCACCUUCUCUUCCCCACCGUCGGAUCCCUAUGAACUAUCUCCUUUAUCGGCGGCUUAUGGUUCAUAUUAGUGGGGAUAGAGGGGGAUUUGAUCAAGCAUAUCAGAUUGUGUUAUUUCACUGCCAUUAGUAACCCCCACCAGAGCACCAUUACAGUUUACCCUUUUCAUUAUCGGCAUCUCUCUUUUUCUCUAAAAAGCCCUAAUUGCCACCACGAAGACCAACUACAUGUAGUUCUUGAUAUGGUUCUACUUGCAACAUAUAUAGAAAUAUUAAGUAGUUUGAAAAUUCUGGUGCUUAUAAUGGUAUGAUUUCACAUCUAUCAUCUAUUAUUUUGACAAAUUCCUUCCUGUUUCUCGGCAUUUCUCCCAUAUCUUUGCGUUUUCUAUUCACAAAUCCAGGAUAUAGUGCCCAUUUGCCUUCGUCGAGUCUUCUAGGGUUCAAUCCAACUUACAAAUUUCUCUUAUCUUCUCUCCACAAACCCUAGAUCGAAUCUCUUAUCUUCUCUCCACAAACCUAGAUCGAAUGUUGCUGCCCCCGUCAUCUACAUCAUAUAAGGCAACACCCACCACUAACACUCUCCUCCUUCUCUCUUCUUAUCCGACAACGUUCACCACCACACACCACCGUAUAAACCACCAUCAUUGAUUUUAUCAAUUUCAUCUAUUUCUAAUUUACAAUUUAACUGGAUUUUCAGGUUCCCGUGAAGCCCGCACUACCAUUACCAUCGAGGUCACUCUCACACUAAUCCAUUCAUCUAAUCAUGUGUAAGUGUGUGUUUAUCUUCUUAAAGUUUCAUAAAUACUUUAUCUCUGGUUGUUAAUUAGUUUUUUGUAUGUAUGUGUGUGUUUAACCUUUGAACAACCAUUUUUGUUUCAGCAAGCCCAUGGAUCUUCUUGGCCACUUUUCAUGGUAAUCCAUAACGUUUUGAGCUCCAUAUCUUAGUUUGGAACUUUUGUUCCCAGAUAUAAAACUAUUUGAUUUACCUCUCGGGUUUCCAGUAAACUUAUUUGUAUUUUGCAGGCUCAAGAAGUCUUUAAUGAAGCUGGAGUAUGUGGAUUCUCGAAAGGCACUUAUGUGACUUUACUUAUGGUAUGUGUCAUAUGUUUGAUUUGGAAACAUAUUGUAAGGAAACAUCUUUAAAUUUGAUUUGGUUUUUGGAAGGACUGUAUGUAUGAUGAAAGGGGGUUAUUGUUGUGUAAAAUUAGAAAAGAAGGAAUUUAAUAAAUUCUUGGUUUGGCAAAUGCACAUGGACCUGCAUAAUCUGGAGGUAAAUGUUAGUGGUCAAAAAUUCUAUUAAUUAAGGGUAUUUGUAUUUGAUGUCAAAUUUAUAUUUUUGUUUGUAUUCUAAAUGUUGGUUGCUUGAGAAGGAUCUCUAAAAAAAACCUUAAACAAGCAUCUUAAGCUACAGAGGAUAAAAUUCAUGGACCGUAUGUGUAUAUGUAUCAAAAGCUCACGAUUCUUUUUAUUAAAUCUGACCAAAUACUUGAUUUUCAUGAUCAUUUUUCGGUUUCUGUAUCAGUUCUUAGAUUUUGUAUUUUUUUUAGUGCUUUUCGUGUUUCACGUCUUGAUAAUAAAGUAUUUUAGGCCCAAAAAUUUAAUAAGUGAAUGUGUUGUUUGCAUUUAUUUUAUUUUCUGUAUUUCAGAUGUGUAAAUGUAAAUUUAAAGUCUCUCAAACAUCUGUAAAUGUACAGUAGAAGACAAAUUCAACAUUUGAUGUUUAUUUCAUAUAUAGGGUUUUUGCAAGUUAGAUUUGGGUGUAACCCGACAUGUUUAUUUUGUUUUUUUGUUGCUUUUCAGAUCCUAAUGAUAGAUUAUUUUGUUUGUGUUUUUUGUUUCAAUAAACAUUCAUCCUAUAGUUAAUAUCUUGAAAUAUAUAUAUAUAUANGUGUUUUUGUUUCAAUAAACAUUCAUCCUAUAGUUAAUAUCUUGAAACAUAUUUGGGUUUCUGAUUAACGAGGUCUUCAAUUUCAUUUGUUUUUGCUUUUUAGAAAUUAGACUUUUCAGUUGUGUAGGUGUUCAUUUGCUCUUGCUUUCUGGAAACUGGAUCUCAAAAUGAUUGUAGACAUGUGUAGAUUUGAGUUUUAAGUUUUAUAUAAUGUAUGGAUUAGAGAUUGGAGAUGGGUUUAUUGGCUCAUAAAAACAAUAAUGUACAUGAUAGAGAUUAGUUUUUUGUUAUUAUAAAAGAAUUUCAUACCUAAUUAGAAUAAUGUAUUUUUAAUUAAUAUAAUUUAUAUUAUGUUUAUGAGUAAUUAUAACUUUACAAAACAAAUACUUUUAUACACAUUUUUUCCAAUGAAAAGUCAAAAAAUAUUGCUUUGUGUAAAAGCUGAAUAAUCUAAGGGUUUGUAGGGUGAGUUUUAGGCAUGCUUUUAAAAGAAAAAAGAAAUGACAAAUAUUUGCUUUAGGCUAGCUACACAAAAAAUAAAUUGCAAAUAUUUCAGACGAAAUAAGAGAUUUAUGUAUAUUACCUAGAUGUAAAGAUUUCAAAUCUUGAAUGUCAGGUGGUUCUAUCUACGGACUACGAUUGCUAUAUAGGAAGAAAACAAAAUUAUUUGAAAGAGGUGCAUGGUCUUUAAUUGUUUACUGAUUUUAUAUUACAAAUACAUGUAUUUUACUCGCCUCUACAGUAAGAAAACAAAGACAUACAUAUGGUCUUUAAGUUUUCAAGUUUUUAUUAAUUUUAUAUUAUAAAUAUAUUAUUUUGUUAAAUAUGUGAUUGGUUAUGAAUAUUAAAUGUUUUUUUGUUUUUUAUCAUCCAUUGAGCUUGAAUUUAGUUAAAUUCAUGAUUUACAUGUUUUAUUUAAUAAAUGUUAAGAGUUACGUAGCUAAUUAUAUAAUUUAUAUGAAAAUUGAGGAAAUUACACGAAUGGUCCCUAUGGUUUAGGGUAACUUACGCGUUUGGUCUCUAACUUAUUUUUUUAACUCGGAAGGUCCCUAUCAUUUGUUUUUGUUAUGCACUUGGUCCUUGUCUUAUCUAAAAAGACUAAUUUUCCCUUGAUUUUUUAAUUUAUUUAAAUAAACAUGCCCCCAACUUCACCACUCACCUUACCUUAUUUUCCCCAUCAUUUUUUCAUAUUUAAAUAAUAGUCUUUUUAGGUAAGACAGAGACCAAGCGCGUAACAAAAACAAACAGUAGGGACCAAGCGCGUAACAAAAGCAAAUAAUAAGGACCUCCCGAGUUAAAAAAAAUAAGUUAAGGACUAAACGCGCAAAUUACCCCAAACCAAAGGGACCAUUCAUAUAAUUUACUCAUGAAAAUUAUAUGUAUAAGUGUAUAAUUGUCACACCCCCGAACCAGACGGCGGAAACGUCUGAGGGCUAUUGUGACUUAAUUGAAUAUCAUCACAAUGAUUAUACAUGAAUCAUAACAUCAUUCAUCACCAUGCAUUGAAAUUUUACAACUGAUAUUGUUUACAUUCAGUACAUUGUUUUAAACAUUAUAUUUCCAAAACAUAAACCGUUCGAUACUAAUUUAAACAAAACAUCAUGACAUCACUGGAUACAUAUUCUUCGAUUUACCUAUUACCUGAGAAUACAAGUAUUUUGGAAAAACGUCAACAUAUGAAAUGUUGGUGAGUUCAUAAGUAAUGUUUGAAACCAAAAAUGAUUUUUGUGAAGUUUGAAAACCCAGAAAAUCCGAUAUUUUCUGAAAAGAGUAUUGUAUAUAAGAAAAAGUGUGAAGAUCCGUAAGUAUGCUUGUUGAUUUUUGUAAACGUGAAUAAUUGUUAGACUUUGUAUAUAUCACAUAGGUAAAAGUGUUGAACUCCCCAGGAAAACCCGAUGUUUUCCUAAUACAUCAAAUUACGUGUCUUAUUUAUUGUUAUACCGAUAUGACAAUUGUUUUCGAUAAUUCCAGGUGACAUUGGAUUAAUUAUGGGUUUUGAGUCGUUAUAAUCACGCAUUAAUGAAAAUGACUAGUUUAUAACUACCAAAUACAACGAUCCCUUAGGCGUCGUCCGUACUACUCACUUAAUCCAACCACCCUGACUUCUCAUAGCCCCACAACCGAGGAGAAAGGAGGGUACGAAGCCCCCGUUAUUUCCAUAAGUCGUUCAAGGCUAUCGUGAAUGUGAAAGGCACUUGGCCCGACUUGCAUUUGACUUCUCGACUUUGCUAGCAGUACCAAAGGACCCUUGGGGCCCAACAGCACAAUAAAGCUAUUGAAAGUCCUUUUACAUGGAAUUAGGUCAUAGAAGGCCCAAUAACAUGUAAGCGCGUUCCCUUCGGGCCUAAAGAUCAUGUCAUUGGGCUAGCUAGGCCCAACAAGCACGAUUUGAAACUUUCAAGCCCAAAGAUUGAAUAUUGACUUCUCGUAAAUUUCGCGUGUUCAUCGAAGUACGAUUGUUUAUUACUUUUGGUUCGUUAUUUAUUUGAGACCGAAUCAAUUCGUUUGGUAACGAUAUUGGUGUUGAAAGUGUAUUUGUUAUUACGUUUCGCCGGUAGCCGUGGUACUCGUAUUUUAUCUUAAGGGAUUUAUUGUUUUAAAAAUUAGAGUUUACCUUUUUAUGCCCCUUCUUGGAUAAAAUUUACACUUUUAACCCUUUAUAUAAAAGAAUUUCCAUUUUAGUCCUUAAACCAUUUUUCUUGACACUUUAGUAUCAAAACUUGUUGAAAAGACAUUUUCAGCCCAAAUUUACUUGAUAAACAGAUUAAGUCCUUCAAAAAUGAAAUUUUCUCGUUUGAAACCCCCAUUUUUGCAACUUUUACAAUUUUGGCCCAAAAUGGAAAAUUUUUGCAUUUUUGGUCCCUUUUGAAUUUGAAAAGCAUUUUUGGCCUUUGAAAUGGUUUUAGCACACUUGUAAUCCCCUGUUUUAGAGAAAUGUGCAUUUUUAGCCCCUCAAUUUCAAAAAUCUCGCAAAUUGGGGCUUUAUUGGGCCGAAAAGCCCAUUUUAGCCCAUUAUGUUCAAAAUUUACAUUUUUAGCCCUUCAAAAGUGUUGAUAUUCAGAAAAUUUAUAUUAGAAACUGUUUGGACUCUUUUCAACCUUCAUAAAUUAUCAUUUGUCGUUUUGGGCCCCUGAGUUUUGUAUUUUUGACAAUUUGAGCCCAAAAAUGGGUUUUAAGUCCAAAAAUGUUCAUUCUAACCAACUAAACUAUUUUUCUAGACUUGAUUAGUGUGAAAUGGUAUAAUUUAUGUUUAUUUUAUUCCUCAUAUUGUAGAUCUCGGUUUUUAGGUUCUUUUGGCUAACAUAUUCAUCACAAAUCACAUAAGAUCAUACAUAUAAGCAUAAAAAUCACACAAGGCAUACAUUUACUCAUAGACCUACACAUUUGCUUGUAUUCUCCCCCACAAAAACUUAUAAAAAACCGAAAAAGAGGGGGUAUGAAGCUCACCUUGGGUGUGGUUUCGGUUUUGGAAGGAAAAUGAGAAGAAAAUUCGGCCUUAGCAACCUUCCUUGGAAGAUCUCGAACUUAGAUGCUUCUAAGGUGCUAAAUCAUAAGUUUGAAUGGAUUAAGAGGUGAUUCUUGAAUGGAAUGAAAUAACUAGCUUAUGGAUCUAAGCAACAUCUUACCUUAGAUGAUGAUUUUUAUGUAAGAAUCCCCUUGAACACUUCUUAGAUCUCGAAAAUAUGGAGGAGAUAUGAGAGAGUUUCUUGAGAGAAUUGAGAGUGAAAUGUGUGUGUGUGUGNNNNNNNNNNNNNNNNNNNNNNNNNNNNNNNNNNNNNNNNNNNNNNNNNNNNNNNNNNNNNNNNNNNNNNNNNNNNNNNNNNNNNNNNNNNNNNNNNNNNNNNNNNNNNNNNNNNNNNNNNNNNNNNNNNNNNNNNNNNNNNNNNNNNNNNNNNNNNNNNNNNNNNNNNNNNNNNNNNNNNNNNNNNNNNNNNNNNNNGGGGAAAGAGGAGGUUUUUGGGCUUUUUGCCCUUAAGCCCAUAUUAUAGUUAAGCUAGAUGAUGCUUGACUCAAAUAAAUCCAAGUGUAGUUUUUUUAUGACUAUUAGGGCUAAAUUAGGUAAAUUAUGCCCCAAAAUGGUUCAUGUAAUUAAUUUAUUUCAUUUUAGGCCCAAUAUGGCCCAAAAUAUUGAAAUAAAUGGAAGUGGGUCCAAUUAGAGCCCAUUUAAGAGUUCUAAGCCCAAUAUGGUCAAAUUGGAAGCUUAUUGGUCCAUUGGGCCCAAUAAGGAAGUCCUAGUCCAAAAUGGACUUAAACAAGAACUUCUAGGGUUUCUAAUUGCUUAUUGACUACUUGAAAUGCUUGUAUGAGGUAUUUGAUUGAAAUCAUGUUGUUAUAGAGUAUGCAUCAUACAUGCUCUCAAGUCUUUGAUUCAUAAUUUGGCUUAAGUGUUGUAGUUACAAGGCACACAAAUUUCUAGUUGUGACAAUAAGUAAUAUAUUAGAGUUCAACUUUGUAUAUUAAUAAAUAUUCUUAAAAUCGAUAUCUAGGCACUACUAUUACAUGUUUAAGUCAGAAAAAUAUAUUUACUUUUUAAAUAAUAUUAACUUAAGAAACAAAAACAUAAUAUUUUUAAUUUGUUAUCUGUCCAAUAAUUCAUGUCAAUGACUUCCGACCUAAUUAGAAAGGGAUAACGAGUUUUAUAACCAUGUGAAGUCUAAUGUGGGGAGUUUGAACCAAACCCUCUUAAUAGUUCUUCUUGUGGGGAAUUUUUUUUCUUGGAAUCUCUAUGAGGUCAUGUCUGUCCUAUUGGAUGAUUCCAUCUCAGAACAUUUGCUAAAAUAUAUGAAGGGCUUCCGUUGAUUCAAGUCGCCGUUUAAAAAAACACUUUAAUAAUUCAUACAUUUUAUUAACUAUAAAUAAAAUUAUUUGUGUAAUAAAAGAAAUUCCUAAUAAGUACAUUAUUUUAAAAGAUUAAAAAAUACAUAUUUGGUAUAUUCUAAGAUUCUCAAAAGUGUUAAAACAAGUUUUCAAUUUUUGUACAUAGUUUCAAACAAUUUUCACAACAAAUAAAACUAUUUAUGUUUUUAAACAUUACACCCUAAACUUCAUAAAUCCCAAUUCCUCACCAUUUAUAUAUAUUUCGUUAACUUUUUGGAAAAAAUACAAUAAUUUUUCAUAUGUUUAACAAUUUUGAUUUUAUUUCACUGUAUUUUUAUUAUAAAUAAAAAACAUAUUUUUAUUUUGAACCUAAAAUAACAAUGUAUUUUUAUUUUUAACAAAAAACAACAUUCUUUUAUUUUUAGUUAAAAUAAUAACGUAGAUUUAUUUUUCUCACAAAAAAAUUGCAAACUUUUAUUAUUCUUAAGAAAAUAGUAUAUUUUUAUUUUUAACCGAAAAAAUCAACAAAAUUUUUACUUCGAACACAAAAUAAUUGGACGAAAGAAACUAUCCAACACUGCAUCUAGGGGUGUCAAAAAAAAAACCCGAACCCGAUUAACCCGACCCGACCCUAACCCGAGUAAGUUAAUUAGGGUCGGGUUCAAUAGGUUUAGAAUUCCAAAUCGGGUUAUUCGGGUUAACCCGACAUACCCGAUUUGUAGUUAGGGUCGGGUUUAGGGUUGAUUUUUACAAAAAAAAUCAGGUUUCGGGUCAACUCGAAUAACCCGAUUAGUAAUUCACAACCUUUACAUAUUUCAUCGCUCUCUACUUGAACAGUACAAAAAGACUACAAACCCUUUGAAAAUGUAAAUUUUUGUGACUCUAGAAGCAUACGAGGGUCAAGUAACUCCCAUUGGUGAAGUUCAAGUCCAAAAAGAUAUAAAAUCUCAAAAAUACUGGAACAGCUGAGAAAGUAAAGAUUUUAUUUGAUGGUUAUUUCUACUUUAAACUAACUAUAAACAUGAAUAAACUAUAUGAUAUUGAUCGUUAACUAGAGAUUAAAAGUUCAUAUAUUUAAUAUUUAUAAUGGAAAAACUCUUUUAGGUAUUGUGGUAUGCAUGCUUUCUCAUAUGUUGUAAUAACCAUGAGGUCCAUGAUCUUCUAUUUUUAAUUUAUUUCAAUUUGUAUGCAUUCUUGAUAUUAAGAAAAGACUAAAAAAUGGUUUGAGUUUAUAUCAGAUUGCACUCUUGAAAAAACCAUAUAUAUUAUGUUUAAAUUAAGUGUUUAGUCUAUUAACCCGACUAACCCGACCCUAUUAACCCGAAACCCGAUUAACCCAAACCCAACCAACCCAUACCUUAAUAGGGUCGGGUGUCAGGUUAAAUUAUUUUUUGUGAAAACCCGACUAACCCGACCCGAUUAACCCGAAACCCGAUCAGGUUGACCCGAUUAAAAGCCCUAACUACAUCUACGUACAUAAAUAGAACUAUUCGUCGGAAAGAACUAUCUAGCACAAAACAAUCCGCCAAAUGCUGGAAUGAACUGUCUGACAUGAAAAUAAAAUUAAUCGCCGCAUGAAAACUAUUUGCUAAAAAAAAUUAUCUGGCGUCACUGCAUCGCGCAUGUUUCCUACUAGUAUACACACACGUGUGUGUAUAUAUNAAAUUAACAAAAAUAAAUUACAAAUUAAAUUAUACAAGAAAAGGAAUGCAUAUUACGCGUAAGGAGAUGCGUCAUGUGUCACCAUGGUUUCCAACUACUACUUUGACUUCCGGAAUAUCGGAUAAUAAAUAAGAAAUGUUAUAUGCGUACAUCGUUUGAUGUGUUAUAAUUAAUAACUAGGAGAAGUGUCGCGCUUCGCUGCAAGCAAGGAAAGUCAAUGUACAUAUGAGACAAUGUUCUCUACAUAACCAUAAAAUAGUUAGAGCAAAUGUGGCAAAUUGCAGAAAAUAUUGUGGCAGUUCCAAACCUAUCUCAAACUAAGUACAGGGACGAAAAAGCAACUUGAGCAAUAUUACCUGGCACUUUCGUGAAAUAGAGUUGGUAUACUGUUCCUCAAUUGUAUGUGAAUUAAUAGUAUGUAUAAUAGAGAAAAUUUGUGAUAUAACUAAAAAGAAAAUGCUAUUCGAAGAAAAUGACUAAGGAAAAAUGGAUUUUGGAAAUGACCAAAGGAUCUGCAGAGCACCCUCUGUGGAUCUAUUAGCUGCUUUGUGGAUCCGCUACAUCUCUACGGAAUUGCUGUUUUUUAUUUUUUUUAAUUUUUUUUUUCGUUUUUUUGUUUUUUUUUCGUUCAUUUUCGUUUAUUAAUAUAUUUCUUUUAAUACACUAAUACCUUAUGUGAUUAUAUAAAUAAUUUGACAAAAAAUGUUAACAAUAAUGAACUUAUGUUCGAUAUCAGUCCACAUAACUGUUUGGGAAUCCAUAUAACCGUUAUCAGCGGAUCAGUGUACACAUCUGCGGAUCAGUGUACAUCUCUACAGAUCAGUGUUCACCCUCUGCGGAACCGUUAAAUGCUCUGCGGAUUCUGUACAGCUAUGCAGAAUUGCUGUUUUUUUAUUUUUCUUUUCGUUUUUUCAUUUUUUUUUACGUUCAUUUUCGUUUAUCAAUAUUAAUUUUUUUUAAUACACUAAUACCUUAUGUGAUUAUGUAAAUAAUUUGACAAAAAAUGUUAAAAAUAAUAAACUUAUGUUUGAUAUCAGUCCACAUAACUCUUUGGGAAUCCACUCUCAGCGGAUCCAUUAAAGCCUGUGCGAAUCUAGCUACAGCUCUGCGGAAUGUUCGUUUUUUAAUUUUUUUAAUAUUUUUUUGCGUUCAUUUUCGUUUAUUAAUAUUAUUUUUUUUAACUAUACUUAUACUUUAAAAGAAAAUUUAAUAUAAAUAAAAUAAAAUUAACGGAAAAAAAAAACAUUUGUUGUCAAAUUUUUUACAUAAUAAUAAUAUAAUGUAUUAGUGUAUUUAAAAAUAAUAAUAAUAAUAAUAAUAAUAAUAAUAAUAAUAAUAAACUAAAAUUAAUGCAAAAAAAUUAAAAAAAACUACAUUCCGCAGAGGUGUAGCAAAUCCGCAGAGGGCUUAAUAGAUCCGCAGAGGGUGCUAUGCGGAUCCUUUGGUCAAAAAUUAAAAAAAUUAAAAAAAAAAACUACAUUCCGUAGAGGUGUUGCAAAUCCGAGGAGGGCUUAAUAGAUCAGCAGAUGGUGCUCUGUGAAUCCUUUGGUCAUUUUUUGAAAUGUGUUUUUCCUUGGUUAUUUUCUUCAAACCACCAAUUGUUUUUGGUCAUUUUCUGAAUUUUCUCUUAAUAAUAGGCCACGGAUGAAAAUGCCAAUAGAUCACUACAUUUAACCUUUUAAAUACCCUGUAACAAGUUGAUCGGAAAUUAAAUUACCUUGUGUCUUUUAUGUUUAUAAUUAUUUUUAUCCAUUACAAUUAUAACAAAUCACGAUUCAAUUUAAUUUUAUUUGAUAUAUUUAUAAUAUAGUCUUAAUGAGUUAGUUUAAAAAUAUGGAAUGAUGACACUUGUCAUAAUUUUAUUAGGUAGGAAUAUUUGUAGGCAUAAAAAGUAAGAAACAAUUUAAUUUAUCUACGUUGAUUAAUAGGAUGUAUCUAUAUAUGAUAACUAGUUUAUAACCCGUGGGAACCACGGUUAUAAAAUUAAUCAAACUUUUAUAGUAAAAAGUAAAAACUCAAAAUUAUUAAUAAGUUAUUUUAAAUAUAUUAUUAAUUUAAGAGAUAUUUUUUAUUAGUUAUGUGAAAUUAUAAUCAUUGAUUCAAAUAAAUAUAUAAAAUUAAUUUUUAGUAUAUAUUAGAUAUUUUUUAUUUGUGAAUUAAUGAAAACAAUAAUUUAAAAUUUAAAAUUUAAAAUAGAAUCACAUUAAUGAGGAGGUCUAAUAAAUUUAAAAUGGAAAACUAAUAGAUUGACAAGUGGCAACACAUUAAUUAAAAUGUCUAAUAUGGUGACACAUGGCAAAAAAACUACUCUUUUAUUAGUAUAGACUAGUUGUGAAACCCGUAUAUUAUACGUGUUGAUUAAAACAAAAUGUUAAAUAGAAACGAUUAAAUGAGAAGUUUAUUUGAAUUCAAAUUUUGAAAUAAAUAAAAAUUAUGAGGAAAAAAAACAUGCAAAAAAUAAAUAAAUUAAAAUUACUGUUUAGUUAUCAGACCCGUAUACUAAACAGGUUAAUUAUAACAAAAUGUUAAACACAAAGGUUUAAACUGUAAAUUUAUUUGAAAUUGACAUUGAAAUUUAAAAUUUAAAAUUUGAAAUUAAUAUCAUUAUGGUAGGUUUAAUUUAUGGAAACUAAUUAAUAAUAUAUUAGAAUUGAAAAAUGAAAUAAAUGACAAGUGGAAAAUAAAUAUAUAUCUAAAUUAUGACAAAAUGACAUGUGGCAAAUUGAAUGAGAGAAGGACAUGUGACAAAAUCAUUCUUAUUUAUUAGGGUAGAUUCGGCAUAUACGGUUCACUUGAUUAAAAAAAUAGAGAUCUUGAGAUUCAACAUCAUUUAUAUAUUUCUCAUUUGCCGCUCUAACACUUCAACGUACCUGCAACAACGGGGUAUGCGUAAUCAUAAAAUGAUUAUAUGAAAGAGAUGUAUAAUCAUAUAUAAUUAUGCAUGUUUAUACGUAUAUACCUAAUCAUAAAUGAUUAUACAUAUAUGUCUGUUCACAUUGAGUAAUCAUAUAUGAUUAUGACAGUUGGUAACAGAAGAGGUGGGGGUGACAGAGGUGGCAGUGGUAUAAAUGACGGAGUUGACAGUGGCGGGGUCGGUUGGUGUUAGAUGUCAUGGUAAUGGUGGUGGUGGUGGCGGUUGUGAUGGCAAUGAUGGUGACGGAGGAGAAAGGAACGGACGACGCUAUAUAAUCAUUUAUGAUUAUAAAAGACAUGUUGCGCCGGUACGUCGGAGAGUUAGAGCGGCAGAUGUGAAAUAUGUAGCUGAAGUUGAAUCUCAAGAUAUCUAUUUUAUUUUUAAUCUCAACGAAACCUACCUACCUACCUACCUAACUAUANNNNNNNNNNNNNNNNNNNNNNNNNNNNNNNNNNNNNNNNNNNNNNNNNNNNNNNNNNNNNNNNNNNNNNNNNNNNNNNNNNNNNNNNNNNNNNNNNNNNNNGGAAUAUGUGGUUGUCAUGUACCUAAGCUUAUAUAUAGAACCCUCCAAACAAUGUAGUUUUGAUCCAUUUAUAUUCAAACUAAUCAUGAUAUAUCUUUUACUAUUCUUCCUUAAUCAUAUGACUUACUAAAUCGAUCAAAUUUAUGUUAUUUUUCUUCAUUGUGUCUAAAAACUUAAAGCAUUAAAAGUCACGACCAUUUAAUCAACUCUACUAAAUUCUAAAUGAAAACUAAUAGAAUAAAAGAUAAAAGAAGAACAUGUCAUAACUCAAUCAAGUUUUUCACAAAAUCAUUAGAUAUAGUUUUUCAAUUGAAAGAUAAAACGCUUGAGUUAUAUAUAUUCGUUAAAAAUAGUGGUUUUUUAUUUUCUCUAUAAACUUUAAUAAUUAUUUGCAAUAAAAAUAUAUAUAAUUAAUCUUUUUCAUUGCAUAAUUGAACUUAAUUCAAUGAUAUUCUAUUAAAACAAAACUAAGAGAAAAUGAAAUUGGAUUUGUUUUGUUUAAAACUACGUCAUUUAAAAUGUUUUAUACCUAAGCUUAGAUACAUAANNNNNNNNNNNNNNNNNNNNNNNNUAUAUAUAUAUAUAUAUUCCUAACUAUCACAACGUAUGUUUCAAACCAGACUUAAAGUCAUCUCAAAUAUACAGAUAGGCCAAAUGCCUUUGGUAUUAACUAACAUAUACUAUUUAUAUACGUGUAAAUUACAUUUGUUGUCAUCGAGUAUACAUGUGUAUUUUAUUUUUAUUUUAAAAUUGUCUCCUUAGCUUUACAAUCUUAUUUGAAGUUAGAUGUAAAGUUUUUGGAAAUUCAUCUUCAAAAUAAAUGGUUCCUUUUGGUCACCGGGUCUAGCUUUGGAAUACUGAUAAAAAAAUGUUAUGAAAAACUCAUUUCAUGACUAAAAAUACAAAAGAAAAUAACAGUAAAUAAAUAAAUAAGGUUUUUGACGUGAAAAUUUAAAAAUCGACUAUACAGACUAAAAAUGCUAUUUACCUUUUGUAAAUAAUCUAAAAAAUGUUACUUACUCUUUAUAUAUAAUCCAUGUAAAUGUAAAAUUUUAUUUAUAAACCGGUAUAAAAAAAAGAAUUAUAUCAUUAUAUGUAUAUACAAUGUUCUAAAUAACGUAAGGCGUGACUUGACGGCAAUGUCAAACCUCAAAUUUUUUUGAGUCGUGGCGAGCCAUGUGUUUGUAAAACGUGGCUUAAUGCGACAAUUUUGUAUAUAAUUAAUAAUUUUAUAUGUAUUUUCUACUAUUAUUCAUUUUUAUAUACAUAUAUGACUUAAGGCGUCAUUUUGUCAAAGCUUGGUGUCAAGUACAAGCCUUGAAAACAUGGCGCGCCAUAACGAAAUCGUAGCAAGCUUUUUAGAACAUUGUGUAUAUAUAUUAUAUCCUCGAGGUUCUUUCUCAUUUUUGAAAGUUUCCACAUAAAUUCAUAUCUACAUAUGACAAGGAUUGUCUUCAUUGCCCACUAACUAGUCGUACAUCAACGUCAUUUUCAAAUUAUAAAUCAAACCUAAAUAACUAAUAAUAUUUUAAUAAAAAACUAUACUGAUUCUGGAUAACACCGUCAACGUUUUUGUAUUUUUUAUUAUGGAAUUUUUUGAAAGUACUUUUUAUUAAAUAGUUUGAUGGUUGCCGGCGUUGCCGCGUUAGACGGCUUUGGUUCAUACCAUACUCAAUUGUCUAUAGUCUGUACAAUAUGCUUGAAGAUUUGUACUUCAAAUUAUUUGAUCUACUAAAGAUUAUUUUAUAUAUUUUAGUAGUAAAUUAUAAUUGUAUAAUAAAUUAUGGAGUAUAAUAAGUAUAUGGUUUAUUCAAUAAUCCCUUUAACGCAUCUCAACAUGUAAACACUCAUAAAGAACGGAUUAGUUCACAUCGGCUACUUUUCAAAGCUCAAUUGUUUGGCAUAUGGCAACCAUGUAGUAUAUAAAUAAUAUAUCCACAUACAUAUUCAACAUUGACCAACCCAAAAGUCACAUACUACAUCCACAAAUGUUAUUAGUAACAUUUAUAUUUGUUUAUAUUAUUGCAUAUUAAUUCUCAAAUGAUUAUGAUUUCAUAUCCUUUAAAUUAAAGUAGGAUUACCAUAUACCAAGCUUAUUGGACCUUACGUAAUAUUUAAAAUAAGUCACACAAAUAAGAUAUGUGGUUACCAUAUGCCAAACUAUUAAAGAGUCAACAGUUGUAGUUGCUUUAUAUAGAUGACCAACAACAUUGGAAGAAAAAUGGAAGAAACAUUGGCCUUGCAAUCAAACACCAGACUAGAAAAAUCUUCAAACAAAUGAAAUUUCAAACCUGAGAAUAUUCUGCAAAUGAAAUAUCAUCCCACAACGAAAGAUAUAACCAUGAGUGUGUCACAAAGGGGAAACGAAACAUAUACUAGAGUAAGAAUAUAUAAUUUGUACAAGCUAGAGCUAAUCUAACAAAAUAAAACUAACUCUUUAACAAAUGCUUACGUCAUCAUCCGACUAACUGUACAUGAGAAGUCAACAUAAGUCAAAGCUAACUCUAACAUCCCCCCUCAAGUUGGGAGAUGAUGAACUCCUAACUUACUGACUAAAUGGUUGUGUUGUUUGCUCGAAAGGUUCUUUGUAAAUACAAUCUCAGUUAGCUGACGUGUUUAGAAAGAACUCAUGUUCCACGUGUUUUGUCCUCUCGUGGAACACAGGAUUUCGAGCAAUAUGGAUCGCAGCUAGAUUAUCACAAUGAAUAGGAACAUGAGUUAAAUUGGGAACGUUGAACUCGUGUAGUAAUCUUGUAAGCCAUGCUAGUUCAGCUGUUACCCUUCUCAUACUUCUGUACUCAGCUUCUGCCGAGGACAAGGAGACAGUGAUUUGCUUCUUAGAUUUCCAAGUAACAGGGAUAUCACCAAGAAAAAGAAUGAAUCCGCUAAUACUUCUUCUAGAUUGGGGGCAAGAAGCUUAAUCAGAAUCACAGUAAGCUCUUAAUGAGAAAGCGUCACUUUUAUUCAUUAACAAUCCUUGAUUUGGAUCAUUAUUAAGCUAUUUAAGAACAUGCAUAGCUGCUUCCAAAUGAGGAGAUCUAGGGUCUGACAUGAACUGGCUAAGAUGUUGGACUGAAAAAGCUAGAUCAGGUCUUGUAUUGACCAAAAAAUUCAAUUUGCCAACUAAUCUUCUAAAUAUUUCUGGAUUUUCUAAAUGCUCCCCUUGAGAAAGAAACAAUUUCUGAUUUGAUAACAAAGGACAAACUGCAUUUCCAGAACAAUUGAAUUCCUUUAGCAAUUCUGAAGCAAAUUUCCUUUAAGUAAGAACAAUGCCAUUUGUAGUAUACAAGGCUUCAAUGCCCAAAAAAAAAUUGAGAUGUCCAAGAUCUUUUAUCUUGAAAGUUGAAUCGAGAAAUGCUUUUAGUUGAAUGAUCUCUUCUAUGUUAUUGCCUGUUACCAUAAUGUCAUCGACAUAUACAGCAACAAAAGUAACAUGAUCCCCCAUUUUCUUGAAGAAUAGCGAAUAAUCAUUCUUGGAAUUUUGAUAUCCAAUAUCCUUUAAAGCAGAAGAAAGUCUAGCAUGUCAUUGUAUUGAUGCUUGCUUGAUCCCAUACAAUGAUUUUUGAAGUUUGCAGACUUGAUUUGGAUUAGACAUUUUUAAACCAGGUGGUGGUUUCAUAUAGAUCUCUUCAUGCAAAAUUCCAUGCAAAAAUGCAUUAUUCACAUCUAGUUGAUACAUACUCCAUCCUUUCUUGACUGCAGUAGCUAUUAAAGCCCUGAUGGUAGUCAUUUUGACCACUGGUGAAAAAGUCUUUGUAUAGUCAAUUCUAGCUUUUUGUGUAAAUCCUUUGACUACUAGGCGUCCUUUACAUCUUUCCACGUCACCAUUUGCCUUAUAUUUCACUUUAUAUACCCAUUUGCAACUGAUGGGUUUCUUCCCUUUAGGAAGAUCAACAAGAACCCAUGUAUUAUUUGCUUCUAAUGCUUUAAACACUUUGUUCAUAGCUUCUUGCCAUUCUGGUAUUAAAACCGCCUCUUCAAAGCAUGAUGGUUCAAAAAUCUUAUUCAUGUUUUGAAUUAAACGUUUGCUUUCUUUUGACAAAGUAGAAAAGCAAACAUGUUUUGGUGAAGAAGUAUGAGUGAUAUGAUGAGAACAAGAUAAGAAUGAAUAACAUCGAGGGUUUUGAGGAUUUUGAAAUUUUCAAGAAGCAUUUUUGCAAACGAAAUCUUGUAAAUAAACAUGAGUUUUGAGGGUUCUAGUGGUACGUCUAAGAACAAGUGGAGGAUUAUCAGGUAAUGGUUGAAAAAUGUCAUCAGGGGUAUUUUGGGUAUUGUCAACAUUAGCAACAGGAACAUUAGGAACAUCAUUUUCAUAUUGAGAUAGGUUGAUUUCUCUUGGAAAUAAAGGCUCAAAAAUGACCUUUUAUCAUGAUAAGGAAAGAUAUGUUCAUGAAAAAUGACAUUUCUAGAAACAUUAACUUGUUUUGUUGUCAUGUCAUAAACUUUGUAUCCUUUCUUGCCAUAUGGAUAACCAAUAAAAAUACUCGGAAGAGCUCUUGGUUUAAACUUGUCUCUAUUAUGUGAUAGAGUACUAACAAAGCAUAGAGAUCCAAAACUUUUCAAAUCAGAAUAUGUAGGAUGUUUACCAUGUAGAACAAAAUAAGGAGAUUUUCCUUUUAGAACCUUUGAUGGGAAUCUGUUUAUUAGAUGAGUAGAAGUCAAUACACAAUCACCCCAAAAGCUUAAGGGUAAUUUUGACUGAAACAUGAGAGCUCUAGAAGUUUCCAAGAGAUGUUUGUGUUUCCUCUUUACAACCCCAUUUUGUUGAGGGGUAUUUAUGCAACUUAUUUGAUGAAGAAUGCCCUGUUCUUGAAAAAAUGAAAUAGCCUCAUUGCUUGGUCCCAAUUCAUAAGAAUCGUCUGAUCGUAUAACCUUGAUGUUCUUGCCAAAUUGAGUUAAAACCAUAUGUAUGAAACCUUUGAUGACAUUAAAAGCAUUGCUUUUGGUACUCAAAAGAUGAGUCCAUGUGGUUCUAGUGUAAUCAUUUACAAUAAUGAGGAAAUAAGACUUUCCAUUAUAGGUUUUAGUAUGAUAUGGGCCCCAUGUAUCAACAUGAAUGAGAUCAAAAGGAGAAGGUGUAUGAAUUGUACUUUGACCAAAAGACAAUUUAUGAUGUCUAGCUUUAGAACAAAUGUCACAAAGAAGAUUAGAAUCAAUAUUUUCUUUUUUCAAAAGAUUUAGAGUUUUGAACUUGUACAAUGGCAAAUGCCCAAGUCUAUUGUGCCACAAAAGAAACAAAUUGUUUGUGGUAACAUUUUUACAAACAAAGCUAGAAAAAAUAAUAGAUGGAUCUGCAGGAAUGCUUGAAGUAACAGAAAGUGCAAUGGCUUUGUUCUUGUUUUGAUUGGAAUGCAUAAAAUACAAUCCAACUUUAUGUCUACCAAGAACCAGAGGCCUCUUCAGAGAAAGGCCCUGCAACAAGAAACAAAACUUGUCUGAAAAUACAACAAGAGAGUUUAAUUGAUGACACAACUUGCUGAUUGACAAAAGAUUGAACUGGAAGUGAGGUACAUGAAGAACAUUGUGAAGAAUAACAUCAUCAGCAAGAUGAGUACUUCCAACUUCAUAAGCACUUAUUUGAUGUCCAUUAGGAAGCGUGAUUUGAUAUGGAAUUUUUAAAGUUUGGAUUUGAAACAACAAGGAUCUGUUAUGACACAUAUGAUCACUAGCCCGCGAGUCAAUAAUCUAAGUAGUUGUAGCAGUAACAAGACAAUGACAACUAAUUGGAUUAAUAUUGACUGCAGAUUGAUUAGCGCUAUUUUGAAAAAAAAUGUAUUACCAACAAAAUUGAAGUUGGAAUGAUUCCCAUUGGCAUUGUUUUGAUGAUUGCUUUGAGAUUGUUGAUUCAAAGUUGAUGAAGUUUGAAAAAAAUUGGCAUUUGCUGAAUUGACUUGAUGUGUUUGAGGCUGACAAGUGCUAAUCUGUGAUUGAUUUUGUGAUUCAAAUCCUUUGUUGAAGUUGUUGAACAUUGAAAUGAAUUGUUGAUAUUGUUGGAACUGUUCUUUUGAAAACUCAUGAAUAUUUUGAAUGUUGUAAGAAUAAUUAUUUCAUUGUUGAGCAUGGUGUUCUUCAUUAUCAUUAUGGAAAAUGGCAUUAGCAGCAAUUCCUUUUCCUUUUGUGAAUUUAAAAUCCUUUGGAAAACCAAUAAGACGGUAGCAUUUAUUGGUUGUGUGACCAGGAUUCUUACAAAAAUUGCAUGUGAUACUUCUUUUAUAAUCUUUCCCUUCAUAAUUGUUCUUGACAUGAGAUGUACCAGCCUUAAUGUUCAUAGCAGCAGAUUCAGGAAAGAAGUUGGAAUAUGAGUGUACCUCUCUUUGUUUUUCAUCUUGAAUUAAGAGAGCAUAAUCUUGUGCAACAGUUGGAAGAGGUUUCAUCAUGAGAAUACUUCCUCUAACAACACCAUAUUCACCAUUUAAUCCAAUGAGGAACUUGAUCAGCUUUUGAUUUUGUUGAUUCCCUUGAACUUGUUGAGCAGAUCCGCAAGUACAAGUAGGAAUUGACGAUAAGGAAUUUAAUUCAUCCCAAAGUUUCUUAAGUGUGGUAAAAUAAGUUGCUAGAUCAUCCGAUCCCUGUGAUAAUUCGGAAAUAGACUUUUGAAAAUGAUAGAGUUUGGCUCCAUUUGAUUGAGCAAAUCUAUCAUCUAAAUCCUUCCAGAUUUCGUUAGUUGUUGAAGAGUAUAGAACAGAUUCGGCGAUAUCACUUAAUAACACGUUCAGAAUCCAAGAUGUAACCAUAUCGUUGCAUCUUUGCCAUGACUCGAAUGUAUUAUGAUCAGGAAGGAUCUGGUUGAGAAAUUUUGCCAUUUACAAAUCCUAUCUUGUUUUUAGUAGAUAAAGCUAUCAUUAUAGCUUUCUUCCAGGAAUUGAAGUUUGUGCCAUCGAAUUGCUUGGACACCAAUAACAUGCCUGGAUGAUCUGAAGGAUGAAGAUAUAGUGGAUCUGAUGUCAAAUUAGUGAACUGAGAAGAAGAAUAUGAUCCAAAUUGACCAGACGUCAUUGAUGCAAAAGUCGCCAUUGAUACAAAAUUGAGAGGAAACAAUCAAUUAAUCAAGCAAUUGAUUGAUGAAAGAAUGAUCAAAAGAAAUUGAUUAUCGAAGAAAAGAAAAUGAAUUAGAUCGAUCGAGAAAAAAUCAGGAACACCGCUCUAAUACCAUGAUGAUUUGUGAAGAAUUGCAAGAGAAAUUUUUCAUUAUUCUCCAAUAUAUCUUUUACAAUACUGAGAGUAAGAAUAUAUAAUCUGUACAAACUAGAGUUAAUCUAACAAAAUAAAACUAACUCUCUAACAAACGCUUUCGUCAUCAUCUAACUAAUUGUACAGGAGCAGUCAACAUAAGUCAAAGCUAACUCUAAUAGAUAUAACCAUGAGUGUGUCACAAAAGGGAAACGAAACAUAUACUAGCGACAAAAAAUAAAAGUAAGAGUGUAGAUGAAGAGUAGCAUGGGUUGAGCAUGGACAUACAAUCUUAAUACCGUAAUACACAAAAUACUAUGAGCCGAUGCUAAUAAUAAGUAGAGAGUAACAAAUAUAUAUUAAGCAGACAUGUAAAACAAGUAGAAAUUGAAUGCACUAAAAACAUAACGAUGUGCACAAUAAACGAAAGGAAUAUAUCACCUAGAUUACUCGUAUUCUACUCCACCACCCUCAUUUGAAACCUCGACGGUCUCAUUUUUUAAUAUACUCAAUAAUUUGCGACUAAAAUUAGUGAUAUGUGUUUACAGGUGUUUUUAAUGACAUAGGUGGUCAUGAAUAAAAGAUAAAAAAAGGUCAUGUGAGUAUAUAUUACACCGAUAUAUAUGCAUGGUUAUUUUUUGUGAAUACCUUCAUGAAAUAUUAUUCAAUGAAAAAGGUUUAAUGUAAAAAUAUAAAGAAUAUUCAGCACCCAAAAGUACAAAGUGGUUGAUAUAAAUGCAAAAUAAGCUAUAUGCUCUUUUGUGCUCUCCAAAAGAAGAGAGAAAUGGUAUCUACAAGCUACAGAUAGAAAAAAAAAAUAACUUAUAAUAUAAUGAAUAUCAAGGAUGACAACAUACACGUUUUAGUGAAAGAUAAUGAUAUUAAGAGGAAAUAAGGUACAAGUUUUAGUGAAAGAUAAGGAUAUUAAGAGGAAAUAAGGUAGUUUUUUUUCUCAAAUUCAAAGCUAAACUAACUAUAACUUAGUUAUCAUCCUACAACGAGUGAGAUGACAAACGGACAACAAGUUGUGUUGUUAAGAAUUUUUUGUAUGGUAAAGUCAAUUCUUUUGAAGACUACAUUUAUCAAUCUAGGAGAUAUAUGUAACAACCCGAAACUUUGCUUCCUCGUCGUAACCGUUCCGUCAAAACUCGUCUUAAGCGAAUUGUUCCGAUUUCGUCCUGAACUAGGUCAAUUAAGUCUAAACCUUUAUUUUGACUUGGUAAGUAUCCAAACAUGUUGGAAACAUGCGAAAACGUCCCGAACUAGUAAUUUGAAAAAUUAUAGUUUCGACCAUAUCGGGUAAAGACAACUUAAUCGGGUGCGACCCAAAGCAUCGGUUAACGUCGGUAUCGGGUAAAAUUCCACCGUGUAUCCAAGUUAAACCAUAUUUAAAGUGGAUUAAGCCUCAUUUGAAGCUUUUUCACUCUCUCUCUAACCUCUCUCCUCAAAUCUAUAUUGUUAAGCCAAAAUCAACCAUUUCAAGCCUUAAAACACCAAGGUAAGCAUCCUAGCUCCUAGUAUAACAUCCUUAGGCUUCAUCUUCAUGUUUAAAUCAUGGGAUAAGACCAUAAACAUGUGUUUAUGGCCCUGGAUCAGCUUUAGGCCGUGAACACAUGUAAUUGGGGUUUUUGAGCCUUAAAACCCUUCCAAAUCACCAUAGGAGCUUAUAUAAGGCUUAAGGAAUUAUUGGAAUGGACUUGGAACACCUUGAAUGUCAAUUUUAAGGAGUAAACAUGAGUUUACUGCCCAAGAAUAUGCUUGGGCCGUAAACUCAUGUAUAUGGGUGGUAAACUCCUCUUUUGGGUGUUAAAAUGCAACUUACACACCCCUUAGGCUUUAGAAUAAAUUAUGGAACCAACCAAAAAUCAUUUAGGGGCCUUAAUCUCAUCAUAAACACUCUAAUUGAGAGUUUACGGCCAGAGCAUAUGCUCCAGGGCAGUAAACUCCUAGAUGGAUGCCAUUUGAAGCCUUAAACUCACCCUAAGCCUUGUAAAAAUUAGUUGAAUCACUUGUGAUUAAUCCUUGGACUUCAAAAUAAUUAAGUUGGAUGUGGGUGAGAGUUUACAGCUGUAAACUCUUAGUUUACUGCCCUAAAAUCUUCUAUUAAUUAAUAUAAUGAUUUUUUCCCUUUCAAAUGUCCAAAAGCCAAACCUAGCAACACCCAUUAUUUGAUUUAAGGCCAUUUAGCUCAUAAAAACACCCACCAUGAGUUUACGGCCGUAAACUCAUGGGGAUGAGGUGUUUAAGGCCGUGAACACUCCCUAGAGUUUACCCUUGAAGAGUAAACUCUAUAUCCUAGCCAUUCAUGUCCUGAAACGCCACCCGGGUCACUUCAAACGCUCAUUUUGGAGUGUUUUCGCGUCUUAGAAUGUUCAAGUGUAUCUAAUUAGUUAUUUAAAUCUAAUUAGAUAUAUAUUGUGUAUUAUUUAAUAUUACAUAGGAACCUCGCUCGUAUUCAAGCCUCGGUUCGACGUUUAGCAUCCCAUUCGACACUUUCCGCGUCCGGUGAGUUCAUACCCCUACCCUUUUUCUAUGGUUUUUCAAUGUUUUCAAGGGGGAAUACAAGCAAGAGUACAAGAAUAUCUUGUACUUAAACUUAUGAUUUUAGUUAAAUGGUUUCAUACUUGUACAUUUUUAAGGAUUGAAAACCCUUUUAACAAACUGUUUUAACUUGCAGAGUUAUUUGUUUAAAAACCGAUUUUCAAUUCUUAUUGUAUACUUCACAUUUGAUUGUUCAUACUCUUAUAGAUAGAAAACAUAAAACAUUGUAAAGUCUGUAAUAAAAUACCAUAGGCACGAGUAUAAAAGUCAGACACCAUAAAGAACACAUAAAACUUCAAAAUGUCAUUAAUAAUACACCUAGGCUCGAGUGUAAAGGACAAUCGUCAGUAGUUAACGUAGAAAAUUUGUAAAGUCCUUAAUAAUACACCUAGGAUCGAGUGUAAAGGAUAGUCAUCAUUAUAUAACACCUAGACUCGAGUGUAAUGACCUUAAUAAUACACCUGGACUCGAGUGUAAUGACCUUAAUAAUACACCUAAGCUCGAGUGUAAAGGACAGGCAUGUUAGAACUUAAUUAGUCAUAGAUAUUACUUCCCUAGGCGAGAAGUGAUUAUUAAUCUUAAAGAAAGGAGACACGUCCUUUGUAACACGUCCCGUGGCACGAGAGUGGAGGACUACCCCUGUAACCAGAAUCUACGAACGUAGGAGAGCGUGACUUGAGUGUAUAGAUCUAUACGGGACUGACAAUCCCGCACCUGGCUGCUAGCUACAGCCGAACCGAAAGGUUCAAGGGUGACGAAAGUCAUAAAAAGUAUACUGGCCACGACUCAAGUCAUAUCUAGUCUAAGUAUGGUUAAGGACUCACAAUCUAGAUUAUUAACAAUUUAGACUCAUUUACUAGCUUUAUGUACGUAGUAAAGCUAAUGUACGUUCAAGGAUGACAGAAACACACAUACACACAUUCAGGAAAACAUGGGGUUUUCCUGGGGAGAACAUUGAACAUAAUCAGAAUUGGUAACAGUUAGCAUACACAGAAUUGGUAAUAGUACACACACACAUUCAGGAAAACAUGGGGUUUUCCUAUGGAUAAUAAUGUACAUAAUCGGAAUCAGUAUCAGUUAGCUCACACAAAACCAGUAAUAGUUCACACUUACACAUAUAGGAAAGUAUAGGAUUUUCUUGAGUAACAGUAGUUUGUAACCAGAUAAGUGUAAUAAGUUAAAUAACUAAACUUUACAAAUCAUAAGAACAAUCAUGUUUUCAUUGUACAUCUUUUACAUUACAAUUUGGAUUUGGUAUCUAACACUUAAGAAAAUAUGGGAUUUUCUUGGUUAACCACUUUUUCAGGAAACUAAAGGAACUCGUUCUUUUCAUAAAAUAAACCGCUUAUGAACUCACCAGCUUUAUGCUGAUUUUCAAACCGCUUGUAUUCUCAGGUCCACUUUAGACAGGUACCCGACGAUCUCUUUUGGUGAAGACGGAGUGCGUAGAAGAAUCGUCUUUCUUUUGUUUAAACUAUAUAUUUAUGAAACUUGUACUACUUUACUUUUCAACUGAUGUAAUGAAAUCUAUGUAAUGUAAUAUUUUGUGUUUUACUUCGCUUACUAUGUACAUUGGUUAUGAUUCACAUGAAGUCACCUCCACCCCGAGACGUUUCCGCCUUCGGUUUCGGGGUGUGACAAUAUAACAUUGUUAUGCAUGAUCCAUAGUACUGUAUUAAGAAGCUUCACCGCAUCCGACACAAGGAAACCAAAAUUUAGCAACCAAAAAUACAAAGCGGUUGAUACAAAUGCAAAAUGAUUGUACUUGCAAGCAGAGUGAUAAAGAGGAAGUGAAGUAAGCAUUAAAGAGAAUGGGGUGAGAAAUAUGUUGGAUGGAACCAAAUUCCUAUAAUUGUGUGGUUGUGCCUUAGGUAGGAAGGAAUGUAGUUGUUGACAAACCUAUUUAAAAUCAUCUUAUAGUCAAUUAAGAUGUGUGAGGAGUAGAGAUCAAGUACUGUGAUACCAAUAUAUAUAAGAACAAACGAGAUGCCCUAAGUUAUGGCAACCGUAUAUAUAUUAAACUACUUAGUCAUAUGAUGAAGCUUUAGUUUAUGAAAACCAAUUUGGCCUCAUACAUGGGAGGUCAAUGAGCAAGGAGAUCUACUUACAUAAGACAUCUUAUCGAGAAGUUUAGAGAAAUAAAUAUGGAUCUCCAUGUGGUGUUCACCAUCCUUGAAAAAGCAUAUGAUUGUUCCAAGGGAGACAAUCUAGGAAUUUUGAAGCUAGAGGGUAUCGUGGUGUUAUGGUAUGGCUAUUCAUGAUAUGUAUUGUCAGUUUACGACAUCACUUAGGAACUGUAGUUGGAGACAUAGAGUUUUUCCCUUUUGGAACUAGGCUCUAUAAUAGUUCGAUACUUAUCCCUUACAUCUUCACGAUGAUUAUAGUGUAGUUUUAUUUGGGAGCAUAAUUAUAAAGGGGUAGAGUGUAUAUAAGGACCAAGUCCUACAACCAAAGGAUAACUUCAAGUUGAUGGAUUCUAUGAUUUACAAGGAUGGGGUGUUCAGAAUGAUGUCACACACCGUAUAAAGGCGAGAUGGAUAAAGGAAUGAGCAGCCAUAGGAGUCUUGUGCAACAAGAAGUUUCCAUUAAAACUUAAAGGAAAACUAUAUAGGGUAGUUGCAAUGAAAACUAUAUUGUGCGCAUGUAUGGGUCUAAAUGUUGGUCGACUAAAAAUGAUAUUGAGCAGGAGAUGGAAGUCGUAGAAAUGAAGAUAUUGCGAUGGAUUUGUGGUAGAACUAUAGGUUGGGUCCCUAACUCGACAAUCAAAAACUCAUUAUGAGUUGUUUCAACUAACAAGAAAUUAAAGGAAGGAAGAUUAUGGUGGUUUGAACAUGUAUGUAGAAGACAACAAACUGUUGCGCUUAGGAAGUUGGAAACAAUAAUUGUAAUCGGGUAAAGAAGAGAGGACUUCCAUAAAUGAAGUGAAUAGAUAACGUGAUGUUAGACUUGAAGGAGUUAGGUAUUUCGCAAAUAGAAGGUCGUGGAAGCAUAUGACUAGGGCGGUUGAGUAGUAUAUCAGUAGAUUUUUGAGCUUUACAUAUGUUGGUACAUGUUGCCCUUUAUGACAUGAUUUUGUUUGCGAAUGUAGCCAUAUGAGUCUGACAUUUGUUUUCUCUUUAUUGUCUCCUAAUAUUUGCUAAUGUAUGUUCUAAGUUUUAUGGCUUGUAACAUCCAAAAUUUCAAAACAAUUAAAACUUUUCAAAAUCACCCAUUUUAUUAACAUUGUUACAAAAAGGUUUUCAAUACAAUAUUUAACAGAGUAUUUUCCCAGGUUCACAUCAUAAAACAUCAACACGAGGAACGGUACGAUCACGCCUUUGCCUUGUCACAAACUCUUGAGAACCUGAAAACAUAAAACCACAACUGUAAGCCCGAAAGCUUAGUGAGAUACCCCCAGAAUACCAACCACAUAUACGCCUUUCCAGGCCCUGACCUUCCGGUCCAUGUGUCUCAGGGUACUUCCGUCCCUGCUGGGUAAACCUUCCGGUCCUACCCACGCUGACCUUCCGGUCCAUCACACAACAUAUUGCCUUCCGGCCCAUAACAUAUCGCCUUCCGGCCCAUAACAUAUUGCCUUCCGGCCCAUAAGCAUAAAAUGCAUAUAUAACAUAACAAAUAAUCAUAU
rnacentral:lncRNA from 1 species